UGGGUCAAAAUCUUAUGCAUCGCUAUUCGUUCGGAUCAAGUCUGAUUCUAUGCUCUAUGUGCUUGUAUACGUUGAUGAUAUUAUCAUUUCUGGUAGUCUAACCACAACCAUAGAUUGGUUUGUUCAGCUGUUAAAUGAUGAAUUUUCACUUAAAGAUAUGGAGGACCUUUACUAUUUCCUCGGGAUAGAAGUUACACGUUCCUUUGGGAGUCUGCAUAUCUGUUAAAAGAAGUAUAUCCGUGACAUUCUCGUUCGGUGUUCGAUGCUCAAUGCGAAGAGUGUUCAUACGCCAAUAGUGAGCUCACCUACUUUGUCUAAAGACGAUGGUGUUUGCUUUGAGGAUCCAACGGAGUAUAGGAGUCUUGCUAGGGCAUUACAGUACAUUGUUCUUACUCGACCUGAUAUUCCGUAUGCUGUAAACAGGGUAUGUUAGUUCAUGCAUAAUCCUACUACUACUCAUAUGGUAGCACUGAAACGCAUAUUGCGGUAUUUGUGUGGCACUAUUGAGCUUGGGCUUUUUUUCGUCCUUCUACUCCUACUACUCGAUUGUCUCUGGUUGGUUAUGCAGACGCCAACUAGGGGUUAGAUUUUAACGACCGGCGGUCGACCUCUGGAUAUUGUAUUUACUUUGGCUACACUCCAAUCUCUUGGUGUUCUAAGAAACAGCAAGUGGUUUCUCGGUCAACAGCUAAAGUGGAGUGUAGGAGUCUUGCUGGGGCUACCAAUAAGGUUACUUGGUUGUUGUCGCUAUUUCACGAGUUGCAGAUUAAGUUUGAGGAUACUCUUACUGUGUAGUAUGAUAAUUCCAGUGUCGUUGCUGUUGCAGCUAAUCCUGUGUUACACUCGAAGUUUAAGCAUGUUGAGUUGGAUCUGUUCUUUGUUCGUGAGAAAAUUGCGGAUGGGACAGUCUUAGUUAAUGAAGUUACUGCGUGUGAUCAAGUGGCUGAUGUUUUCACCAAGCCGCUUUCAAUAACGUCUUUUACUCGAUUUCGGAAUCUUCUUCAAAUCUUGCCCAUAGGAAAGAUGGGUGAAUGUUAAGGUUCAUGUGUAUCAGCUCAAGGAGGCUAGAGUAGUUAGUCAGUUAGUAACAGAAGCAGUUUAUAUCAACUACUAAUCUGUUGAGAGUAGUUGUCCAACAAGUCUGUAUAUACAAUGCUAUUGAUGUGUAAAGUUAAAUAUGUUGAAAUACAGAGAAUUCAGUUCAGUUUAUAUCCAGUUAUUUCUUUCUAAAAUUUGGUGUGUAUUACCUGUUUUCUUUCACCUUGUGAGUUGCAUGGUAGUGCCUGUUCAUCUUACCAUAAGAAAUUUUGGUAUUACUUAUAAAUUCGAAGAUAACAUUAGAUAUCAAUAUGACUUUACACGCUCAUUUCUAGGUAGGAGUAUAUCUAUAAAUGAUUAUAUUUAUGGACGAUUAUACCAUACACUAGUAAUGGUUUAAUCCACAAGAUUAGUAGAGUAACGGCUUUUAAUUUAUAAAAACUAUCUUUUUAUCCUAAUUUAAUAAAGGAAUACUUCAUUUCAUAUAUAUAUGUAUAAAUUAAUAGUUGAUUCCAUAUUUUGUUAGACUAUAUAAUUUAUUUUUGGCAUAAUGAUUUAUUUGGUCCUCCAAUUUUAUAUAAAAAAAAUCAUUUUAGCUAUCCAUUUAAAUUUUCGUCUUUUUUACUUCUUGAACUUGUACUAUUUAUCAAAUCAUUCAAAAUGGAUGAAAUGUUAAUGUUUGUUAAAUUUGCUGACGUGACAUACACAACCAUAUGAUAGUCCAUGUGUACGUUAUGUCAACAAUUAAUUAAAAUUUUAAAUUUUAAAAAUAUUUUUAUAUUUUUAAUAUUUUUUAAUUUUUUUAAAAAUAAUUUUUAAUUUUUUUAAAAUUUAAAAAAGAAUUAUUUGCUGACAUGGCAUCCACAUGGAUGUUAAAAUUGAAAAAAAUUAAAUAAAUGACUAAAAUGAAUUUUAUGUAAAUUUGAAGGGCCCAAUAUAUUAUUAUGCCUUUAUUUUUUAAAAGUUAAUUCUUAUUCAAUUUUCUUAGGUCAAUUAAUCUCACAAUUAUAAUCCUUAAACUUCAAUAUGGUAAAAUAAUAAAACGAUAAUUACAAUGUUAUGUUACAAUUGGAGUCUAAUUAAAAUAACUUAAUUGUUUGAUAAAUGAUUUAUCCAAUAAUAUUUAUAAUAGUAAAAACUAAAAUCACUAAUGAAAAUUAUGUCAGUGGUAUUUUUAUAAUGAAAUUAUUUAAGUGUUAUUAAUCAUUUUUAAUAUUUUUAAAGUAUACAUUUUUUUUCAGAAAACAAGAUUAACAUUUUUUAUUCACAAGAAAAUUCACAUUUUUGUAUAAAAAAUAAGAAAAUAAAGAUAUAAUUUGAUUAUUUCUUAGUACAAUUAGUCUAAUAACCAACUUUAGCGAUAAUGGUAUUAGUACUAUGAUAUUUUAAUAUGAGUGUAUAAUAUACAAUAGGUGUUAGAAUUUUUACUUGGAUAUGUUAAAUUGGUUUUGGAUAGGUUAAUUUAGGUUAUAAUAUUUUCAAUUUUUUGGGUUUAGAUAUGUUUCAAGUUUGAGUUAUUUUACUUCAAGAUAAUUUAGAUUCGAGUUGAUUUUAUAUUAAGAUUCUUUUUGUUGGGUCAUUUUAAGUUUUGAUAUUCAGAUUUGAGACUUGAGUUUGGGUCAUUUUGAAUUACUUGUUCGAAUUAUUUUGAGUUCUUGUGAUUUUAGGUUUUGAUAUUUUUUGAUUUGGAUUGAAUAGAUUUAAGUUGUUGACUUUUUAAAUAAAAUUAUAUUGAAUCAAACUAUGAUUUAAAUUAAUUGGAUCAAAUUUUCAGGUAAAUGCCAGUAUUGAUUGAUCUAAUUCAUGUUGAUGAUCAUUAAAAUUGAUAAAUAACACAUUCUUCUUCUUCUUCUUCUUCUUCUUCUAGGGGAUGAAGGUGAAACAUAAAAAAUGGAUAUGGAUCUUAUAAAUAAAGGCCUACUCAGUCUGGGCUGUUCUCAAAAUGUUAAAGUCGAAAUCUGCAAUUAUUUAGAAGAAUCAAAAGUGGUGGCUUCUCCACAGGUUCCCUUUUCACUUUCCAUGUUUUAGAAAUAUUUAUAUGUAAUAAGUGCUGUAUUUUUUCUAAUUACUUAUUCUAUCGUUGAAUGCUACAGGUAUUAUAUGAUAAUGGCAUAAUUACAACAAUUGAUUCAAUGCCAUUUUAUUAUUUUGGCCAUUGCUUUGGCCUUGAGGCUGGCAAGUCUGAGGCUUCAAUUUCAGUGUUCCCAAACUCUAGCCGAAGGAUUAGCUGCUUGCUAAAUUCGAUUAUCGUUCUUUCUGCCAAAAAUGAUUCCACAUUUGAAUAUUUGCCAUGCCUUGAAAUUGUGAACGUGACCAAAGGUACAAAAUGGACCUAUUCUAAACAUUUCAUGGGAAUUCCUGAAAUGGAGAACACCUUGUACUGGAUGAAUAGUUGAAAUUUUAUGGGAGAUGAACUAGAAGCUGGUGAUCAUAUUAGUCUUCGGGUUGUUUCAGAUUUAUCUGUGCUUGAGUUUGGCGUUGAGUUGUAUAUGAUUAUGAGCUAGACGAUAAACCAAGCUCUCUUCACCGGUUGCUAGGGAUGAGUAAAGAUUCUAGUUAUCUUUUUGGGGUUUUUGUUUAUCUUUUGGCGAAAUCUCAAAGAACCUUGUAUAGGAUGCGAGUUUUGUCAAAUGUUGAUUAUUGUAGGAUUUAAUAGGAGCAAAUCAUUAUUGUGUUUACCCUUCAUGCCUAUCAUAUGAGGGUAGAUUCUAGGAGUUUGAAUUGGUCUUUCUACUGGUUUGAUGGUCUGGUACACUCUGAAUUUUUGACUCCUUAAAAUAAGGGAUAGUUUUAUGCUACCUCUCCAUCUCUAUGUAUUAAGGCCUUGGGCUUUCUAUCAAAAGCAUCUCAAAACUUGUUUUCUCUUAUUAAUAUACUUGCGUAUUUUUGGAAUCUUUUAGUUAAAGGUUUUCAUUAGUUGUUGGUAUUUGAAGGUGUAUAUAAUUUGCUAAACCUUAUAAAAUUGGGUGUGUUCUUUUAUAUUUAUUAUUUGCAUUUAUUAGUUUUCCUAGUUGAUUUAAUCUACUACUUUUGGGUAGUUUUAAUUUGGUAUUGGUGUUCCGUACAUUAGUGUGAGAUAUUAUCAAGUGUCCUGAACAAUUGAUAUUAGAGUCUCGAUGAAAAAAUAUUAAUUUUUUAGUAUGUUUUCUAGUUGCGUAAAAGUGCAUAUAUAGAAAAACUUUUCACUAGGAGCCACUUUGAAUAUUGUCUUUCCUAAAAAAAUAGUUAAAAUUGUCUCUACAUGAAGAAAAUAUUGUUUAUGUUUGAUUAUCAACCAUGAACCACCAUGGAAGAACACAUCAUAACUUUUUAUCAGUUAGUUGCAAACUUAUUGAGUUUGGAUGAAACCUUCAAAGAUGAAGAUUUGACUUUAAUGUUGUUCAUCUCUUUCUAAUGAACUUGAAUACAUUAAAAUAGUCUUACUUUGUGAAAAGGAUAAGGUAACAUUUAAUGAAGUUUGGUUCUUUGUAUAGUAUGAGCUUAGGAAAAAAAGCUAAAAAGAAAGGAAGAACCAAAGUAAUAGAAGCAUUGAUAGCACAUUAUCGUUCAAAAAGCCAAAAACCAAAAAGAAUAGGGAGAUCAAAUUCAAAAGCCAAACUUGGAAAAGAUGAAUGUGCCUUUUAUCAUGAGAAAGUCAUUGGAAGGAAACUAUCUAAAGCUAAACAAAGACAAGAAUGCAUCAAAUGCAUGUGUUGUAAAGCAAGAUAUUAGUGACUCUAAAAUAUCAUUGGUUACUUUACCAUCAUCACCCCAUUCAGAUGAGUAGGUAUUGGAUCAAAUCGCACUUAUCAUAUGUCCCCUAAUUGGGCAAUAACAACGCAUGUAAAAUAGUUGGGGUAAGUUCAAUCAACUUAAAAAUUAGGAUGGAAGAACCAGAGUUCUAAUCAAUGUUCUGUAUGUACUCACUUUUAAAAAAAAAAGUUUAAUCUUUUUGGGAGUCUUGGAACCCAAAUGUUUAGUUGUUAUAAUGAGACAUGGAAUUUUAAAAGUAACAUUUGGAGAACUUGUGGAAAUGAAAGGCAUUAGGUAAAAUAACUUAUAUUACUUCCAAGGUAGUACAAUUAUUAAGGCAAAAAUUAUAGCAUCCAAUGAUGACAAACCAAAUUUGACCAACUUGUGGUAGAUGUGGUUAAGACAUCCUGGUGAGAAAUCUUUGCAAAUUCUAACAAAGCAAGGAUUGUCGAAAGAUGCAAAGGCUUCCAAGUUAGAAUUUCGUGAGUAUUGUGCUCUAGGAAAACAAAAGAGAGUGAAGUUUGGCUUUGCUAUCCAUGAUACUAAAUGUAUUUUGGAUUAUGUUCACUUAAAUGUGUGGGGGCCCUCCAAGACACUUUCGUUGGAAGGAAAACACUACUUUGUGACUUUUGUUGGUGACUUUUGUUGAUGAAAACUAAGGAUGAAGUGCUUGAAAAUUUUCUUAAUUGAAAAAUUAUGAUUAAAAAUCAAACGAGCAAAAAAAAAAAAAACCAAAAGGUUUAGGAUAGAUAAUGAAGUGGAAUAUAGAAGUGGUAUAUUCUUUGAUGUUUGCUAAAAGUAUAGUGUGGUUUGACAUUUCAUAGUUAGAAAUGCACCAUAUUAUAAUGUGGUGGCAUGUAUAAAAUCCAAUGCUGGGUUGGGCAAACAAUUUUAGCCUGAGGCUAUGACAUAUGUUAUUCAUAUCAUUAAUCAUUUGCCAUCAUUUGCAAUUGAAGGAAAAAUACCUUUGUACGUAAUGUUUGAAAACCUGUUACCGAUUAUGAUUCCUUACAUGUAUUUGGAUGAACUGCUUAUUACCAUGUAAAGGAGUCAAAACUAAAUCCGAGAUAAAAGAAAGCUCUCUUUGUUGAAUCACCUUUGGAGUAAAGGGAUUUUGACUUUUGUGUGUAUACAUGAAGAAAAUAAAUUUUAGUAGUGAUAUUACUUUGGAUGAGUUUGCCAUGUUGAAAAAGAUAACAGAUGAAGAUGUUUAGAAAAGUGAUACUCUUUAGCAGGUGGAGUUUGCUCCAUGUUGGAAAAAAUCUGAUUUGAAAAUAAUUUUCUUACACAAUAAAAAUAAAAAUUUUGAAAAUUGACCCAGUUUGUAAUAUUUAUAGCAAUAAACCCUAAACCAAAUUUGCACCUGUGUUUUUAGAUAGACGAAUCCUUGACAUUUCUGGCUUUCAACCAAAUGAUUUUCUCCAUUAUUCUCAUACCACGAACUGCUUCGAGUGUGGGCUCAGACGAUUCUAAUCAAAACACAAAACUAGAAAUAGGUUUCUUUUCUUUUAGGUAAAAAGGAAAAAUCUCUUCUCAAAUAGAAACCGAUAAAAUUGUUAUUCUAGAAAAAUAGAUUUAAUAAUUGAGAAUUAAUUCUCUCUAUUUUUCGGUUGAGUAACAAUAUCUUCAAGUUGUGUUAAUAGCCCUAUCGGUACCAUCUAUUUAUAGGAAGAAGAAAUAGAACCAUUGUUGAAUUGUAGAAAUUUAUUUCAUCUAGAAAAAUGAAUUUCUAGUCUAACUAGGAGUAUAGAGGGCAACAACCCUAGUUAAUAAUACUAGGGUUUGCCAUCCAUCCCUUUAACAUGAGGAGCUUUUGGGCCUCUCCCAUAUCAAGUUCAAUUACAAGUAGUUUCUGGGCUUUUAAGCCAAUACUUUAUAAUUUGAUCCAACUCGAUAUUUGUUUUUCUAUUUCCCAAAAUAAACAUCUCAACAUAUUUCCAAUUAAAUAAUCUUCUCAAGCCAAUUCUAAUUCUAUUAAAAUCAUGGCAGCUUUACCGUAAAAGAAUCUAUGAGAAAAUUUAUUUAAUAAUUUUAUCUUCAAUAGUUCAGUAUGAUCAAAUGAUUUAUUUCCAUUUUGAACUUCAUUUAAUUCGAAAAAUAUAAAUUCAUUUUCAAGUCAUUUUUGUUGGCCCGAGCUUUAUUUAACAAAAUCAUUUUGAUAUAAUAAACACUAUGUUUUGAAUAAAAAUCAUUUUAAACAACACUUGGCAAAAUUUGUUCUUUAGAUCAUACCUAAAAUAUAAAGAUGUCAAAUUUAUACUUCGAAAAUUUUCCAAGGCCAAGUUAAUUAAAAACAAUACUUCAAAUAUUUUCAAACAAGUUAAAAAUGCUUCAUGCCAAAAACUAUCGAUACUUUUUGUUAGGUAUUGAUAAAUUUAUAAAAAGAUUGAUACCAAAAUAGGCUACUGACAUGAAAAUGAGUUACUAAAUACCGAUACAGUAUUGAUACAUUUUUGCUUGGUAUCAAUAAAUUUUAAAUGAUAUCGUUUUUGGUACACUUUAUUGAUACAUUUUUUAGUAUAGAUACAAAAUUAGCAUUAUUCCAUUUUGAGGUAUUCAUUAAGUAUCAAUACCUUUUAUUUGGUAUUGAUAAUUUAUCUUGGUAUCAAUUUUAUCGAUUUUAACAGUCACUAAAUCAAGGCAUUAAAUGGAAAAAUUAUCGAUACUUUUUGUGUCAUGUGAAUUAAAUGCACUGGUAUUUUCAUCCCAAUGGCUCUAUUAACUUCCACAACAACCAUAAUGGUUGGAAAUCAAUUAGAGGGUAUAAAUACCAUCUUCCAAAGUACCUACAAAAACAAGAAAGAGAAUUAAAGCUAAAAGAUCAAUCAAACAAUCUUUGUGCUCAAUUUUUCCAUACUUUUCUGACAUACACUUGUGAGCUUGAUUACUAUUCUAUCAACUCAAGUAUACUUCUUCGUAAUUGUGUUUAAUUGGAAAACACUUUAAUCUUUUAAGGAUUAUUUUUUUGUUUGCUUAUUUGUAUUUUUUGAGAGGAUUUGUGUCAUAAAGCUUAAGGAAGUUCGUAAGGUUAAACCUUAUACUUGAAGGUUGUCAAAUUAGUGAAUUUAGAAAAAUCCUUAGUAGUGGAAAGCUAAGGUAAUGGAGUAUGCAAUUGGGGCCGAACCACUCUAAAAUUUUAGGUUCAAUUUUUUGUAUCUUUACUCUCUAGCAUCCACAAAAUUUUUAAAAAUUCAAUUCACCCCCUUUUAGAAAUUUCAAUUUACUUAUUUGAGCUAAAAAUUGGUAUUAGAGCUAGUCUCUAUUUGACAGUUUUACAACCAAGAGAAGAUCCUUAAGAUAGCUCAACUUUUUGCCAAUAAAUCCACAAAAGAUGACGUCAACAUCCAAUUUAGUUUUUCUUGGAGAAUCACAAUCUAUCUCCAAGCCUCUUUAGUUCAAUGGUGCCAACUAUUCCUAUUGGAAGACAAGAAAGAUGUUGUUCAUGUAAGCAAAUGAUCUUGUCGUAUAAGACAUCACCAUGGACAAUCCCUCCAUACCUCUCAAGUAAGAAGAAGAGUUCUUUAUUUCAAAAAGUAAGAAAGAGUGGAAUGAGGAAGAUAAAAGGAGUAUUUAGUUAAAUUCCAAGGGUAUGACACCUUAUUUUGUGCACUUGGCCUGAAAGAAUAUAUUAGAGUAUCAUCUUGUUCUAAUGCCAAGGAGAUACAAGAUAAGCUUGAAGUCACACAUGAACAUAUCAGCCAAUUAAAGAAGUCUAAAGUUGGAAUUCUUACUCUAAAUUAUGAAACCUUCAAAAUGAAGCUCGAGAAAGAUAUCAAGUUGAUGUUCGAUCGGUUUACUAUUAUCAUCAAUGGAUUAAAGUCUUAUGAGUAACACCCCUAACUUGAAUCCGUUGCUAGAACAGGGUUAAAAAGCAUUGCCUGAGUUUACAAAUCAAACAGACAGAAAAUGCAAACGUUUCAUAUCAUAUGACAUUCAUGUCAAAAACCAAUCAAAAUUAUACAUAUUUCCCCUUAUACGAGCCCUCGAAGCCCAAAAUGCACAUUACAAACAAGUUAGGACUAAAUCGGAUACUCAAGGAAUUUUUUGGAAAAAAUUGAAAAUUUUCAAAGCUGCAGGGAUCACACGGCUGUGUGGCCAAGCCGUGUGACUCACACAGCCAAGAGACACGUCCGUGUCUUAGACUGUGUGGACAUUUGAAAAUAGGGACACACGCCUGUGUCCCAGCCCAUGUCCGUGCCAGUGUAACUACUUGACUUGGGCCACACGGUCAAGCCACACACCUGUGUGCUAGGCCCUGUGAGCAUACUAACUUGUGCAAUUUAAAAGAUACAGGGGACACAUGCCUGUGUCACCUGACCUUGUGUCACACAUGACUGAGACAGACGCCCGUGUCUUUGCCUGUGUGGAUGAAAAUAGGCAAUUUUCCAAGCCACAUUUCUCACCCAAUUUGGUACCAACCUAAACACAACAAUUUGCACAUCAACAAGUCAUAAUAAGGCAUUCAAAACAAGCAAAAAUUAAGUCUUAAACAUGAAAUAUCACUACAUAUAACCAAUAUGCCCUUAGGCACCUCAAAUGACAACUUAAAGACAUGUCAACCAAGUAUCUGAACUUAGCUAAAUGACCAAAUUCAUAUAUACAUAUUCAAACCACAUUUUACUUUCUUUUAUUCUACCAUAUCAAUCACACAUCAAACAUGAUAAGAUCACCUAUAUAUAUGCAUCAAAAUAUACCAAACACAGGCUAUAUAAGUGGCUAAUCUCAACAAAACAAUUAUAUGCCAACAUUGGUCAAAUUAACCUAUAUAUGCCAUUAUAAUUGGAAUUAAUUUACCGAAAGUACCAAAAGGACUGAUGGAUAGUGUGAAAUAGCUCCAACCAGCUUCCAACCCAUACGAGCUUUCGAAUUACUAUAAAACUGGAAAAUAACACAAAGUAAGAAUUUAAGCUUAGUAAGUUCGUAUAAGACAGAAUUUAACUUACUAUAUAUCCAUAAAAUAGGUAAGUAAACAAAACAUAUCUCAACCAACUUGGCCAAAAGCCUAAACACAUGAUCACCAACAUAUUAGAGAUGAAAACUACAUAUAAGAUCCAACACACAUGGUUGAAUUCAUCAAAUAAUCAUAUUUCAUGUAUUUCAUGUAAAAACCAAUAAUAAUUCAUAUCGAACUCAUAUUAUUUUGUAACAGAACUGUGUCCGUUGAACCAUUUAGAAUAUCAUUGGAUACACGGGUAGAACACACGAAGUGUACUUAACUGUAAUCCGCCAAUUCAUAUACAUGUAUGCUCAUACGAGCUAAAUAACGGGAAGCUCAUCCGAGCUGAAUAACGAGAAGCUCAUACGAGCUGAAUAACGGGAAGCUAAUAUGAGCUGAAUAACGGGAAGUUCAUGCAAGCUGAAUAAUGGGAAGCUCAUAUGAGCUGAAUAGUGAGAAGCUCAAGCGAGCUGAAUAACGAGAAGCUCAUGCGAGCUGUGGUGUAUCUGCAACACAUGCAGGACCCAAAGCAAAUCGGUAGCCCUAAUGACAUGUCAUUUGUAUCCUACAAAUUUAUAAGGUUCAAACGAGACUCGAUAAUCGUCGGAUAUGCGAUCGGUAUUUAUACAUGAAAAUUAUACAAAUUACAAACAAAUAAUUCAAUUUAAAACAUAUAAAUGUACAAUUUAAUUACACGAACUUACCUCGACAAGUGUACGUAGAUAUGAAGGCGACUAAUUAGAUAUUUCCUCAUUGCCUCGAUCUAACUCUGUAAGAGAUCUGGCAGGAUCUAUACAAAUGAAUUUAACUUAUUUCAAUAUAAUUCUCAUUCAUUUUAAUCUAACAUGGAAUUUUUUCAAAAUUAUCAUUUUACCCUAACUUUUAAUUCCUUUGUAAUUUAGUCCCUAGGCUCGAAAAUGACAUUCAUACAAUUUAAUCCUUACUCAAGCCUAGUAGAUUUUAUACAUAUUAAUAGCAACCCAUAUAUUUCACAAAAUUCACAAAUUUUACCAUAAAUUUAUCAUCUUUUUCAAUUUAAUCCCUAAUUGACAAUUUCAUCAAAAUUCUCUUUACAAAAAUUGUUUAUCUAACAACAACCAUUCAUUUUCUAUCAUCAAACUUCAAAAUUCAAGCAUAUUCAUCAAUGGAAAAACCCUAAUGCUUUAACAGUUUUGCAAAUUAAUCCCUGAACUAGCUAGAUUAAGCUAUUACGAUAUCAGAAACAUAGAAAUCAUAAAAAACGAGACAAAAAUUCUUACCUAAUUGAGAAAAAUAAGCUUGCCUAAAUUCUCAAGCUUCCAUGGCUAGGUUUCUUUUUUUUUUGGUGGAUGAUGAUGAGAAUAGAUUAUUUUUUUUAUUUAUUAUAACUUUAAUCACUAAUUUUCCAAAAUUAACCUUAAUAUUUCAUUCAAUUUCCAAUGAUGACUAUUCAUACUUAUCCACAAAACAUUUUAAUGGCCUAUUUACUAUAUAAAGACCUCUAAUUUAAAAUUUUAUAGCUAUUUAAUACCUUUAGCUAUUAGAAUACAACCAUUGCAGUUAAUGCGAUUUAGUCCUUUUUAUGAAAUUAGGCAUGUAAAUGGUAAAAUUUCUUAACAAAAUUUUUAUACAUAUUUCUAUCAUACUGUAGACCAUAAAAUAAUACUAAAAUAAAUUUUUUGACUUUGAAUUUGUGGUCUCAAAACCACUAUUUUAAUUUCACUAAAAACAUGCUGUUAUAUGAUGGGAAGACAUAUCCAAAUGAAAAGGUGGUAAGGAAGAUGCUUCGAAGCUUGCCUAAAGCAAAGGAAGCCAAGGUAAAUGUAAUUGAAGAAUUAAAGAAUUUUGAAAUAUUAACUUUGAAUGAGCUCAUUGGUUUUUUUCUUACACAUGAGAUAGUUGAAGAAGCCAAAAUUGAGAAGAAGGUUGGAGUUGCUCUUAAAUCCACCAAUGAAGAUAGUGAAUUUAGUGAAUAAGUGGACAAAGACAAAGAGAUGGUCAUGUUUGUUAAAAGAUUCAAGAUAUUUAUGAAAUCCAACAAAGGAAGAAGAUUUCAAAGGAAGAAAGGAUUAAAACUUGAAUCCACCAAGGAGAAGGAUCCCAUAAUAUGCUAUGAAUGCAAGAAGCUGGAACAAAUCAAGUUCAAUUGUCCUCAAUGGAAGAAAAAGAGAUCUAGCAAACAAAAACACAAGGGCAACGUGGCUACUUGGAGUGAUGAAUAUUCUUCCGACGAAGAAGAGCAAGAAGUAGCUAACUUUGCCUUAUGGCCAUUGAUGACUUUAAGGUAAUUUAUAACUCAUCUAGUUCAAUUUAUUAUGCAUUUGAUAAAUUACAAGAUGCCUAUGAUGAGUUAGGUUUGGAAUUUGAAGUCAUUGUUUCAAAGUAUAAGAAAAAUAUUUAUGAGUGGAAAAAUGAAAAUGACUUGCUUUCCAAAACUGAUCAUGAACUUGAAGAGAAAGUGAACAAAAUGCAAGAAAUCAUUAAUGAUUGUGAGAAGAAGAAUUUAGACUUGCAUAAUUUACUCUUACAAGUUCAUGAAUAUCAUGAAUAGCAGCUUGAGUAGCUUAAGAGUGAAAAAGCUCACUCUAAUAGAGUUUUUCAAACUAGGUUUGAAAAAGGAGAAAAUUCUAAACAAAACUUUGUUGAAAAUAGCUUUAAUCAAUAUAAACAUAGAGGUCCUUUUAAAACUUAUAAAGGAAACUUAGUUAGAACUAUAUGGGUCCCCAAAAGAAUUAUUACUACUAAAGAUAAGGAUAUCCUUUCUAAAUGGAUAUCUAAAGGGACUAAAAUCUUGGAAACUAAUGCCUAUGGACCCAAAAGAAUUUGGGUACCAAAAAUGAAAAAUUAAUUCUAUGUUUGUAAGAAAAUGAGAAUUAUUUCAAGGUGGGAAAUUCAAGCAAAAACUCAUUGUACCUUGAUAGUGGAUGUUCAAGGCACAUGACCAGUGACAAGAGCGAUUUUAGUGAAUUGAAGCUAAAAAGUGGAGGACAAGUUACAUUUGGUGACAACUCCAAAGGACUUAUUGAGAGAAUUGGCUCCAUUGGUAAAACAUCUUCAAACUUUAUUGAAAAUGUUUUGUAUGUCAACGGUCUUAAGCAUAAUCUAUUAAGUUUUAGUCAAUUAUGUGAUAAAGGUCUUAAUUUCAUCUUUGAAUCAAAUGGAUGUAAAGUAAUUAACAUUGUGUCCAAUAAGAUUAUGCUUGUGGGACAUAGGAUAGGAAAUAUUUACAUGGUGCAUUUAGAUGACAUGCAUGAUUCAAACAUAUGUCUUAUCACUAAAAAUGAAAAUAAUUCUUUAUUGUGGCAUAGAAAAUGACAUGCUAGUAUGAGAAUAUUGCAUAAACUAGCCAAAAAUGACUUAGUAAAAGGUUUGCCAAAAAUUGAUUUAGAUUUUGAUAAAGUUAGUGAUGCAUAUUAAAAACAAACACAAGAGAGUUUCUUUUAAACCUAUAAAUGAUGUAUCUACUAGUAGAGUUCUUUAAUUAAUUCACAUAUAUCUUUUUAGACCAAUUAGGACUACUAGCUUGGGUGGAAAAAAAUAUGCUUUUGUCCUUGUAGAUGAUUAUUUGAGAUUUACUCGGGUUCUUUUCUUAAUUACUAAAUAUGAAGCUUUAGAAAAAUUCAUCACAUUUUUAAAAAUUAAUCAAAAUGAAAAAGGUUACUCUAUCACUAGUGUUAGAAGUGACCAUGGAACUGAAUUUCAAAAUCUUGGUUUUGAAAAUUUUUGCAACUCAAAUGGGAUUAGCCAUAACUUUUUAAAACCUAGAACCCCUCAAUAAAAUGGAGUUGUUGAGAGGAUAAAUAGAGUUGUAUUGGUGGCUUGGGAUGCAUAGCAUAAGGGCUAUUAUGCGCUUCCCGCAGAAUUGUCUGCCUCAAAUCCACAUCAUUCGACAUGAAAACUUGACCUUUGAAACAUAGAACACCUUCACUAUUCAACCCAAACUUUGAAGUCUUACCGUCAUCAAUCUGUUGAACCCGACUAACCAAAGACUCUUCCAGAAGCUGCUUAUCACGAAUCUCAUCAACCCAAGUCGACUUAACUUGCAACUAAACCAAAACUCCACUAUCCUCAAACAAACUUAGGCGAGCAAAUAUCUCCCUCAACUCAGACAUAGAUCUCCAACUAAGAGCAUCUACCACAACAUUGAUCUUACAAUGAUGAUACUCUAUGGUGUAGUCAUAAUUCUUAAACAACUUAAUUUAUCUAUGUUGUCAAAGAUUCAACUCCUUCUGAGUGAAGAGGUACUUAAGGCUUUUGUGAUCAGUGUAGAUGAUACACCUCUUACCAUAUAGGUAAUGCCUCUAGAUUUUUAGUGCGAAGAAAAUUGCAACUAACUCAAGAUCGUGCAUCAGAUAGUUGCCCUCAUGCGGCUUAAGUUGUCUAGAUUCAUAAGCCACCUCCUUACCCUCUUGUAUCAAAACACAACCCAAACCAGUGUGAGAUACAUCACUAUACAUAACAAACUCCUUUCUGGAUUCAGGCUGUAUCAAAAUAGGUGCCUGAAUCAAAAUUGAUUUAAGCUUCUCAAAACUCGAUUAUUGAUCAUCAGUCCACACAAAGGGCAUGUUCUUACGCAAUAGUUUAGUCAAGGAAACUGCGAUCAACGAAAGCCCCUCUACAAACCUCUGAUAAUACCCUGACAAACCGUGAAAGCUCCGAACCUUAGAAACAUUCCUAGGUUGUUUCCACUCAAGAACAGCCUCAAUCCUUUUAGGGUCCAAACAGAUACCCUCGGCAGAUACAAACCUUAGAAACAUAACUUCCCUCAACCAGAACUCACAUUUUCUCAACUUAGUGUAGAGCUUCUUCUCUCGAAGAAUCUAUGAAACCACUAUAAGAUGCUCAUCAUGUUCAGUCUUGGUCUUAGAGUACAUCAGAAUAUCGUUGAUAAAUAUCACAAUGAAUUGAUCCAAAUACGACUGAAACACCCUAUUCAUGAGAUCCAUUAAUACAACUGGAACAUUUGUCAAACCAAAUGGCAUUACAAGGAACUUGUAAUGACCAUAAUGAGUCCUAAAGGCACAUCAGGUUCUUUUACCUUCAACUCACGGUACUUGGAAUGGAGAUUAAUCUUGGAGAACACAGACACUCAUUGGAAUUAAUUGAACAAAUCGCUGAUCCUCGAUAGUGGAUACUUAUUCUUUACCGUUAACUUGUUCAGUUGUCGGUAAUCCACACACAUCCUCAUUGUACGAUCUUUAUUCUUUACGAAGAUUACUUGUGCUCUCCACGGAGACACACUAGGUCUAAUAAACCCUCUAUCGAGAAGCUUUUGAAGCUUAACUUUAAGUUCCUUCAGUGUUAUACGGUAAGGAGGAAUGGAAAUCGGAGUUGUCCCUAGUAGAACCUAAUUCUUGAUAAGAUAUUAAAGUAACAUAUUUUAAUCCCAAUUUUAAUGUGUUUUUGGACAAUUAAUUAUGCAAAUAGUGAAUUUGAUACUCCUAGUCCUUUAAAUUCAUAUUUCUAUACUUCGGAGAGCAUUUGGGAGCGAAAGGAGAGAAAAACGAGCCAAAAAAAUAGAGUUAUUUUCAGGAGCCACACGGCAUGGACAUUUCCACACGGGUUGGACACACGUCCAUGUGCCAGCCUGUGUUAAUUUUGCAUCCUACUUCCCAAAUACAGGGAAAACCCUAAUUUUUAAGCUUUCUGAGCAUUCCAAAGUCUAUAAAUACUAAUUAGAAGAAGACCUAAGGAGGCAAUCAGAGAAGAUAAGAGAAAACACUCGAAAAACACCAUCGGGAUUAACUAGGAAGCGGAUUCAUCAAGAUCAAAGAUCUCCUUUUAAUUUCUUUCGAAGUGUUAUUGAGUUUUUUUAUGUCUUGUGGUUAUUCUAAAUUUGAGAUGUUUUCAUUCAAGAUUAUGAACUAAUUCCCUAGAUACCUAUGGAGGAUGAAACCUAUGAUGAAUCCUUUUAUUUAAUUUCUAUUUUACGCGAUAAAUACUUGAUUCUUCUUCUCAUUUAUGUAUGUUUAUUUAUUGUUUUAAUAUUUUCGGGAUAUUAAUUCAUGUUUAAUAUGCUUAUUUUAGUGGAAGAAAAAUCCCUGUUUAAGAGUAGAUCUAGCAUAAUUGAGUGGAGUUGCAUGCAAUCCUAGAAAUAUGAUGACAUAAAUGUACCUGAUUAGAGUCAAAUCUAAUAAGAGAAUCCAUAGACCGAGUUAAUGUGAUGAUAGGGGUUUUAAUUAGAAAGAGAUUUCAAUUAAUCAACCUAGAGUCAGUUGUUCUUACUCUUAAAAGAGAUAUUAACAUAAUUUAGGGAUUUCUACGGAUCAAGACACAAGUGAAUAAAUCAUUUAAUUCAAAUUCAUAAUAAUAGGUGAAGUCUAGGUGAAUUUUUUUCUGGGUAUUGUCUAUCUCAUUGGUUGAUAUUCGAUUAUCUCUUUGAUUCAUUCUCUGUUGCGUUCUUAGUUAAAUUGAUUUAGUAAAUUUAGAUUAAAACACAUCACCCCAAAUUGUCUGCUAAAUAAUACAAAAAAUAGUAAUUACUAAUACUUUUAGUCCUCAUGGAUAAGAUAUUCUCUACUCACCAUUACUAUACUAUUGUUCGAUAGGUGCACUUGCCUUUGUUGUAUUUAUAAUUAGUUUAGUGACCAUCAAGUUUUUGGUGCCGUUGCUGGGGACUAAAAUAUUAGGAACACUCAAUUUUUAUUAAUUUAGCCAUUUUUAUUUUUAUUAUAAUCAUUUUGUUUUUUUAGUUUAAUUUUUACAGUCUAAUUUUUCUUUUAUUUGCUUCUGGCAAGUUCCUUUAGUUUAUGACUAUAAGAAACUCGUCAGGACCAUUGUUAUUUGAUAGUGAAAUCAAAAGUACAACUCGUAGAAACCAUAAAGAAGAAAGGCAGAUUCGAGAGAAUUUAGUAGUCGAACGAGAGGAAAUUGUUAUUACUGAGGAGAUGGGUGAUAACGAGAAUAAUCAGCUACCUCCUACAGUUGUUGUAGAUCCAGAUCGUGUUCCUCGUACUAUGUAUGAUUAUGCCAAGCCUAUUUUAGCUGGGUCUGAAUCGGGUACUGUGAGACCCACUGAAAUGAUGGAAAUGUGUAAGUGUACACAAUCGCAGCAAGUAAUAAAGUGACAAGUAAAUGUCGAGUUAUCGUACUCACAAGAACUGUGGAAAGAACUAUUUAUGAAUGUUAUUUAAAAAACUUUGGUGAAGAAAAAUAUUAUGUUUGAAGAAGGUGAUUAAAAACUAAGAUUUUAAACUAAGUAAAGUAAAUAAAUAAAUCUCAAAUGGACGAUUUCAAAAUACGAGUUUAAUCAAGAUGACAUAAUUGUAUUAGAUUAAUUACAUUUCUUAUCUUAGAAUUAUUAAACUCAUGUUUAUAUUGUUACGAAUAAAUUCACAGAAACUUGGUAAAUUGGUAACUUAUAAACAUACUCACCUACCAAAAUCCAUUCAUCUCUUGGACAUAUCUCCAUGUGAGUUCAAUCGAUUGAACAAAUCUUAAUAGGCAAAUAUGUUAUAGCACAUACAUACUUAUUAAAUUGAAAUAAUCUCUUAAACAUAUCCCCAUGUCAAUUCAAACAAUUAACUCGAUUUAAUAAGCACAUAAAAGACUAUGUGAGGUAACAAAGUAUCCUUACCUUGAAACAGUUUAAUCACAAUAAUCUUGCAAGUUAUGCAACGCAAUUGUAUCGUCAGAUACUGUUGCUAAUUUAACCCUCAGCUACUUUAGAUGAUUAAACAUGCACUGAUUAAGUACUGUGUCUAUUAAUUACAAUUUCAAUUCGUUUAAAUAAUUAAUUCAUUAGUUACCUAACAAUUGUAUUGCAAGAAUAACUUAGUCAUAAUUUUACUUAAUCAAGCAUCUUACCGAAGCCUAUAACAACAUAAACACAAUUUUAACAAUUUAAGAAGAUGAAAUGCAAUCAACCUGAAAUGAAUUAAAUUCAAACUAAAUUGAUUAAAUUAACCAUUCCAACAAAAUAAAUAUUCAUAGAUAUGUUCAUCAUAACAACAAAAAAAAUUAAAGAGAUAGGGAACAAGAAUCAAAUAUGGUGUUUUUUCGUGGCUUGACUAGCUUGCUCCGUUCUUCGUCUGUUGUCCUUGUCGAUCAAAGCUACUAUGAACACUUCAAUAUUGGUCCAAAAUGGCUGAUGAACACCCCUAGUGCAAGGGAAGAAAUCGGCAAGAGAGCAAGAGAAUUUAGAGUGGCAAAGAAAAGGGAAAGUGGAGAGAAGAGAGAAAAGAUGCGAAUGAAUUGAGGUGUGUUUCAAAUGAUCAGCUUAAGAGGGUUUUUAUAGCUGAAGAGGGCUGCUAAAAAUAGCUAAAAUUAGCAGCCAAAGAGCCCUCCCUUGGCUGGCCACACAUGUGGAAGUUUGAUGAUUUCAAACUUGCUAAAUUAAGCCUGGGGCAAAUCUAGAAAGCCACCAUUUGUGGAGGGGUUUGAAUGCUAUUUGAACAAGUCUUCAAGGGCCUCUUUGCAAGCUAAAUAAUCAGCCAAUAAGCUAAUUUGGGUUAGCACAUAGGGCGGUUUUGGGUUGUCCAUUACUUGGUCGGUUCGGUUAACUCGGUUCAGCUCAACUGGACCACUUUUCAUAAUUUAUUAAUAAUAAUUUAUUAACCCAAAUUAAAUUGGAUAUAAAUUAAAAUUAAUUAUGUUAUGACUGAAUAUACAUAAUUUUAGACCCUCUGUCCUCGGCCCAAACCAUUAAUACCCUAACCUGAAAACGAACCCUAGGAGGCUGUUGUAUUUCCCUCCCAUGGAUGAACCAAACUCUGAAUCGAAAUUUGCACCUGAUCAACCAGAUACGAAUAAUCUUUAAUUCGGUUUUUGAAAGACUGACACGGUAGAAACACUCCUGUGCCCCUCCAACACUCGCCCAAAUGGCAUCUACCACAGCCACCACAGAUCUGAAUCCUACCAAUACCAACCAUCGCCUUAACCUAUUGAGGCCUAUCAAACCCGGACCGUUCCUUAGGCUGUGGAGUUAAACUAGAAGAACACAAAUCCCUCUUGUUCUUAUUCUAUCCUUUUUCUCGCUCCUUCCUCUUGCGCUUAAUUUUAGUCUUCUCCACCAACGUUUCGAAGACUCACUCCUACUGCAAAGUUACCAACACUUUCAAAUCGUAUCGAAGUUCGUCCUCAAAAUGGACACUCUUAUCAUAAUUAGUGGCCACUAAAAUUUAAGCGUACCUGCUUAGAUUUAGAAAUUCGGUCUCAUAUUUGGCUAUAAAUCUCUCACCAUGGGUAAGCCCAGUAAGCUCUAACCUUCAAGCCUCAAUGUACCUUGCCCCUACAUAGUUUUCCUAGAAGGUUCUCUAGGAAAAUGCCCAUUUCACACGCUCAGUGCCUUGCUCUACUAACUGCCACCACUUAUAUGCUUCAUCGCGAAGAAAAUAUUCUGCACCUUUCAAUUUUUGCUCUAGGGUGUAGUCCAAGUUGUUCAUGAUUCUCUCGAUUGCCUCCAACCAAUACUCAGCCAUAGUCGGGGUAAUCCUAGUGAUACCCUUAAAUAGCUUAGCCCUAUUGGACUGAAGUUUUUUAGUUACCUAUCCUCAACCCCUAGUUUCUAAUUGGGUCCCAAUGACCUUCUGUAGAACCCUCAACAUAGCUUGAGACAAUGCAUCAUCCCCAACAAUCUGAGUUUGGGAUUCAAUUUUAGCAGUAGGUGUCCCAACUAUCUCCCUAGUCUCUAAGUUGUGCAUGCUGCCUAGAGAUGGAGAUCAAGUCUAGCCCCUCGAUAACGUCUGUCACACCCUUGAGUAUCGCAACCUCUCGUACCUUGUGUGCUCAUUUUUUAAAUUAUCUAUAGUUUAUAAAUUUUAUGGAUUAGCUUAGGUUAUUAAAAAUCCUAAGUCUAGAGUUUUAUAAGAAUUUUUACAAAAUUAUCACAGUCUUAAUCUAGAGUAGAGUAAUCUUAUCACUACAUUUUACUACUUUGUCUAGUAUAGCUAAAGUAAAAGUAAUUACCAGAUCAGUGUCAGAGUCUCAAAUUUCUCCUUUUAUAGGCUAAAAGAUCAAAUAUAGUCAAAAUCUGAAUGUACGCUUUAAAAAUAAUUUUUCAUGAGAUUUUAAACCCAAAAACAACAGCCUAAAUUUUGAACCUAGGAUCUAAUACUACUAAAUGUAACACCCAACACCCGACCUAGACAUUACAAUCAAAUAUUAAGGAAGUACAUAAACUCGCUUUAAACUCUGAUUUUCAAUUUGGAAACAUAUUUUUUGACUAUAUUCAUUUUGGUUAAACACUUUCUAGUUAUUAGGAAAAUACUUUUUAAAACUAUUUAUUUUAUUACAAAUUACUUCAUUUUGCAGCGGAAAGUUCUAACUUAUUAAUUUUUGCAAAUUGUGACUUAGUUUGUAAAAAUAUAUAAUUUUGUAGUUUAAAAAUAAUAAUUACCAAAUCCCACCAAAAAAAUUCAAAAAUGAAAAAUAAAGUCCAAAAUAAUUUACAGUCCAAAAAGUUAGAAAAAAUCCAAAUUAAACAUAAAGUCCUUUUUGAACUAUUUUUUAUUUUUGAGAAUCCAACCCAAGCUCCCGCACACCGUCCGAUCCUAAGUUUGCUGAUUACCUGAGAGGAUAAAAAAAUAAAUGGUGAGCUAACAAGCUUAGUGUGUAACUCAGCCAUACAAAUAGAACAAAUGUAGAUACAGUAACUGAUAUAGAUUCAGAUACAGAUGCAGAUAUAGAUGCGGAUUCAGACACAGAUGCAAAUAUAGAAAUAGGUACAAAAACAUAUCUUACCCCCAUCCGCUACACAUCAUCUCCGUCCAUCCCUAUACACCAAUUAGGUCAAUCAAUACCCAUCCAACCCCACACACCUAGAAGUGACCGUAUGUCAGUUUUUAGAAUGGUGCAGUCAAGCUACCAGAAAUAAUGCGAUAAUCCGCUAGAAUCAUACAAGUGUGGUCAAGCCACUAAAAUAGAUAUGUGGUAUAAACCACUAGAUAAGGCAGAUCAUUAAACUGCCAACACUUCCUCCGUGGUAUAAUUGUCCCACUCCAAUGCACAUGCACACUAAUCAGAUCUUAGUUGCACAUAAAUCGUACAUGCUUUAUACAUCAGAUCAUGCUAACAUGCUUUCAGAACUAGCACAUACAGAAGCAGAAUAUAAAACUUAAUAUUUAAAAGUCAUACAUAUCACAUUAUGGGCCCUACGAAGUGGCUAACCCUGAAUUGCACUUCAAUUACAGCCUUUAUAACACUAUAUACCCGGCCUGAUCGUUGAGCUCGAGUAAUAGGACGCCACAUCAAACAUCAAACUCAUUCAUAUUCACACGGUCUCAAAAAUACAUGCAACCGUCAUCAAUUUCAAAUAUUUAGAGGAGUAUUGAGUCUUGAACACCUUAGGCUACCUUUAAAAAGACUUAUCAAAUGUUUAUUGACAUAAAUAAUAAGAUAAUCAUGCAUGGGGACCAUCUAACAAAAAUUUCCAAAGAAAUCACGUAGGUAUUGAUACUUACUCGCAGAUAUCGAUAUUUUUACGAGAUAGGUAUCGAUACAAGUUAGAGAAUCAAUACCAAACUAGAAUUCUGCAAAUUUUUGUUAAAAACCAUUUUUAUCAAUACAUGGGCAAAGGUAUUAGUAUUUUUUCAUGAGUAUUGAUACUCGUAUAAGGUUAUCAAUACCAAAAUUGAGCUACUAACUUCUUACAAAAACGAUUCAACACCUAGGUAUCGAUAUGUAUGCCCUGAAUAUCGAUACCUCUACUUAGACUUGCAAAGACAUAGUAAAAUAGAGAAGUAUUCAUGCUUAAACAUAUUAUCUUCCUUACAUGCAUUCUAAAUCAUAAUCUCAUGCAUUCAAAUAUUCAUAAACAAGUCCAAAACCAAUCAUUAACUCAUUCAUAAAUAUAAUUCCAAGCAAUACCAAAACUCCAAAAAAAAUCAUAACAUCAAAUAAAUAAUAAUAAUAAUGAUAACCAAAUGAAAUUCUAACUCACAUUACCUUUAUUCAAAGAGUCCAAAAAUAAUUAUAAAACCACCUACUCAAAAGUUUAUUGCCUUUCUUGGACCACUUCCUUGGUCGUACCAUUCACACUGAAAACACUACUUAUCUGCAAAGAUUUAGUAAGGAGAGUGAACUUAAACAAGCUCAAUGAAUGUUCGAAAUUACCACAAGCAUAUACAAUGUCACAUUAUAAGCAAGAGCAACUAGAUACAUGCACAACCAUAUUUACUAUGAGUCCAAAUAAUAAAUUCAUGUUUCAUUAAUUCAUAAAUCCAACAUAUACUCUAACAUGAAAUUACAUACAAUUCAUAUAUAUAUAAAUUAUCGAUAAUUCAUCAAGACAAAAUAACAUAUUCAUGCUUUAAUGACCCAGAAGUCUAGAUUAUAUAUUCACAUGCAUCUACACACAUAACAGUUUCAUGUAUUAAUCAAUUAAUGAUGAUUUGGCAACUUGAAAACAUGAAACAUAAAAAUGGGUCUAUCACCACAUAUCGGAUACAUGGAUCUCCAUCACACCAAUGGCUCAAGGAGUCUAACAUAUCCCAUAAGUUUAGCAUAAAACUAAACACUCUCCAAUACACCAACAUAUCCUGGUGAAUGGAGCUUAGCUCGACAUUCCCUUAUCCCUCCAAUCUAUCCCAGGGCCUUAAUGCCUAAAUCAUAAAACACAAGGGUGAGUACUCACAAUCCUAUGGCAUGCCAACUAUAUCCAAUGGUUUCAAGAGAUUAUAAGGCUAAAAUAUUCACAAAAUUCACACAUAUAAUUACUAUUUUAAUGCACAAAGUUCUUGUUCAUAAAUAUCAAUUCACAUCACAACUUGUACAUAAUACAUGUUUAUCAAAUUCACAUAAAAUUACACUUUAAGUGCCAAAACUAUGCUCAUUGAGCCAUCACAUAUUCGAUCACAUAUGUGUACAUUAAAAUCAGGUUACCACAUAUCACAUAUAAGUAUUCACACAUACAUUACCUGUCACAAUAGCAUUACAUUCCGCAACUUGUCAUACAUGAAGUAUAUUUUCACAACAAGGCAAAGAGUAUAAGAAAGGCUUACAAUCAAAACAUAGGAUAGAGGUUUAGGUUAUUCCUAAGAUCCCGAUUAAUGCUAUGAAUCGUCCAUACUAGCAAAGAUUUAGCACACUCACUAAUUACACUUCCGCUUACUAGCCAAAAGCUCAAACUAGCUUUUCCUUGCCCUUAGACUUGCUCUCCCGAUUGAUCCGACGCUUUACACACAUAACAAAAACAUUUCAACCUCAUUAAAAAUAGCCUUGAACACAGUCAAACAACAAAGAAAACAUAAUUCAAGCCUCUCAUUUUCAACUAAUAAAAACUAGCUAGUUUUGCCGAAAUUAAAGUUUCGACAUCCUAAUCUCAUUUCUAGUCCUCAAUUUCAAUUCCGAACAUCCUAAAUAACAUUUAAUUUCAUAUCUAAACCACUAAUUUCAUCUAAAUUUGUGUUCCUAAAAUUUUCGAAUAGUUCAAGUUUUCAAGAACAUGAAAAAUGGAAAAACGUUUGAUUCUUGGAAAUUCGAUUAUGAACUAUCAACUGAAUUGAAAUACCUUAUAAUUACAUUAAAAUGAAUUAAAAACAACUUUGAAAACAUGGGUUUAUUUAAGAUUACAAGAUUUUCCAUUUUUGAACCCAAACAUACUUUAAAAACAUAAAAUCAAAAUAAUUGUUUAAAACUCAAUUUGAAUUAACAAUACUAUUUAUUUAACCAUAGAAAUUUAAAAUGUUACCUUGAUUUGAUGAAAACGAUUAUCUACAAAUCUAAUUUGGGAUUUGAACUCAAGAAGAACAAUGAAGAUUUUGGGGGAAGAAAAAUAUUUUUAGUUUGAAAUUGGGGUUUGUUUUGGUGUUUAAAGAGUUAGUAAAUAUGAGGGAAUGAGACGUGAAUGGCUUGAUGUAGAAUACCAACUUUCAAAAAUUAGAGAAUUUGCCCUUUUGGUCACUCCUAAUUUUUCCUUUUUCCAAUUAGUCCCAAAAUUACUUAAAAUCCAUCUUUUUCAAAUUAAACCUAAAAAUUGAAUCUUGUUUGAGCUAAAAAAUAAAAUAAAAUUUUGAUUAAGACACUCACAUCCCUAAAUACUCACUUACGACCUUAUUUUUUGAUAUUUAACUUCACCCCUCAAUAAUGACCCGAUUCUAAUAACCCAAAACUACUAGGUUGGGUUUUGGGAUGUGACAACCUAACCAAAAUUUACAAAAAAUGGGUCCACGUUCCCAUAUGGCCUACACAACCUAACACACGCCCGUGUGACCUAUACAACCUGGCACAUAGCUGUGUGGGAUCGACUGUAAGUUUUUCUUCUUCGCCUCGUUCACUAUUUUUUAAGGUUAUUGUUACACACAUGGUCGUUUUUUAUUAGCAAUGCAACAACACAAUUCAAGAUGAACCAAUUAACGACGACAUAUGAAAAUCAAUCAAUAAUUUAACCACAACAUCUAAAAAUUCAGCCUUAAUCACUAAGAAUCAACUCCUAAAAGGCAAUUAGACGCUUACCCCAAUCGAAACAAUAGUUCUUAAGGCUCACCAAACAUUGGAGAAGAGUUUUGCACCUCUCGAUUUUUACCUAAUAGAAGUACGAGAAAAAUUAACCUAACAAAAAUCAUUCAAAAAUCGCUAACGAAAGUUCACACUUAGCCUUCCUAACCAUACGAAUAGAUUUUUACUUACACCAGAAUUUUGAUACGGCAUCGGAGAAACUUCCAAACACACAAGACCAUACAAAAUUUUAGCAACAUAAUCACCAAAAGAAUGAUAACAAAUAGAUAACACAAAAGAUAGGAGAAGCAAGAAAAAAGAAGAUAAUUAUAGGAAGAAGAAAAUAAAAGAAAAGUGUGAAGUGAAAACAGAACAGAAAAAUGAGUGGGGAAAGUGAGAGACAUGAGAGGAAAGUGGGAGAAUUUUGGCGAAAAGCUUUUUCAUGUUUUAAAAAAUAUUAUGUAACCAAAUCAAUUUUCUAAUAACCAAUCAGAUUAUCUAGAGUUCAAAUUUAACUUAACUACUAAUGUAUAUGGGCAACAUACUUAGGGAGAAACAAAACCAAUUUUCGUUCUACACGUACGAGAUUAGAACACAGGACCUCUGGGUAAGCUGAAGCCUUAUCAUUGAACCAAUAGGCUCAUUCUUGACAACAAUUGAGUGAAAAUUAUAAAUAAGCCAGAUGUUCAAAGAUAGGGGUUGGGAUAAAAAUAACAAAAAUUCAAUGGAAAAGAUUUGAACCUAGAACCUCUCAACACAAACACAACACUUAACCAUUAAACCAGAUCAAUCAACUUCACAAAUUUUAACAAUUCAAAAACAAAAAUUUUGGGGCGUUACAUAAUCUCACCGAGUAUUAUGCUAUGACUAGUUGUUCUCUUGAAAGAUGGAACUUCUUUAAAUAUUACAUGAUAGUACCUACCAUGAAGGCCAGUCCAACUAUCAUAUGAUCACAACAAAGUUCUCCUUUCUUUCUGGAUCUCCUUAAUGAGGUCUGUAUGACAAUCCUAUCAUGGGGUAGUUAAAUUGUCAUACCAUUACUAUAGACCAUUGAUCACUACAGCAAAACAUGUUUUUAGCAGCGUUUUUUUGGGCCUAUAGUGCUAAAACUAUUUGCAGUUUUUUUAGUAGCACCGCAAAAAAGCCACUAUAGAUAACAGGGCUAAAUUUUACGGCAUUUAUUUGAAAAAACGCCGCUAUAGAACAUGACUUUCAGCAGCACUUUCCACACAAACGCCGCUAUAGAACAUGACCUUUAGCGGCGCUUUUCCCACAAAAGCUGCUAUAGAACAUGACCUUUAGUGGCGCUUUUCCCACGAACGCCACUAUAGACGUGACUUUUAGUGGCGCUUUCCCACAAAUGCGCUAUAGAAUGUGAGCUUUAGUAGCACUUUUACUGAAAAUGCCGCUAAAUGUCAUGUUCUUUAGUGGCGUUUUUGGUGAAAGCACCGCUAAAAGUCUUGUUCUUUAGCGGCAUUUGUAAAAAAACACCACUAACUUUAGCAGAUUUCUAACAUCCCAUUUUCAUUCAUAUACAACCCUUCUUGUAACAACCAAAAACAACAAAUACAAAUCCAACCAAAAACAGCAAAUACAAAUCCAACCAAAAACAACAAAUAUAAAUCCAACCAAAAACAACAAAUCUAAAUAAUACUUCAAAUCCAAAAAAAGAUAUAAUAUCUAAAUUAAUAAAUUAAAUAAAAAAAUAUUCUUACAAUAAUGUUAAAAGUAUAAUGUUAAAAUAUUCUUACAACAAGAAAACAAACAUCUAAUAUGGCGGAUUCUGCGACUGCUGAAACAUCUUCAUCAUAUUCAGAAGUUAUUGUUGGAGUUCGUCAUAUUUUCUACUUUGCUCUGCUUCCCUCGCUGCUACCUCCACUUUAAGUUGAGCAAUUUGCUCAACUGUGCUCCCUUGCAUUUGAGCCAAGUGGUCUCUUAACCUCUAAACUUCAACUUGAGUCUAACUCCCUGAAAGCAUGUAUUGCUGCGAGCUGGAUCUAAAAUAUUGGGUUGGGUUUACAAAAGAUCCUUGAAAUCGAACUCGACCAUAUCUUUCUGGACCCAAAACUUCAGUAAUAAUUCGGUUACCAAUGUCAUUAAGAUUAACAGAACUAUCACUCUAAGCGAUCGCUUCAUACUCCGACCUUUUAUCCUUUAGUUUCUCCUAAUAAAUCAAUCAAAGAGUUAGAAACAAAAUAUAUAAUCAAAACAAAUGCAACAUAACUUAACAUUAUUUGCAUUACAAACGACGAAUUAAAUCAUUAUAAUUAAACAUGAUAAAUAUUUAAAAUAAUUCAAAAUUUAUUAAGUAAAUAUAUCAUAAUUUCUGUAGCUACAGUAGUCAUAGGAGAUCCAUCUUUCUUUCUAUGUGUAAUAUCAAAAAGCUGAAGGCGCCCAACUUUUUGACCAGACAAUUGUUCUUACAAUAUAGUAGUAAAAAUAUUAUUUAAUAGAAAUUAAUUAAUAUUUAACACAAUUGAUAAAUUCAAAAUACCUCGUCCUCAUCUACACAAGCAAAACUUUUCGACUCAGCUGUGUGCGUGAAUUUUUGUUUUUGCCUACUUGUAGUUCCAACGCGCUCACGAUUCUACAUUAUGAAAUUAUUAUUAAAUAUAUAGUAAACACUAUAAAUCAAAAUAAUUAUACGAGUUUGGAAGUACGUAAUACCUCUCAUUUCUUUGAAUUCCAAAAUCUAACUGCAUAUUCCCAUUGCUAACUCAGCAUUCCCGGCGGGACAUUUCGCAAUUUAUCUUCGAGACUUAUAUUUUUCUUAAAAUAUUCCUUCUUUAAAACACUUUUAUGGUCUCUCCAUUUUUUUCCUAAUGCAUUCUUGACAUAAUUAUUCGAGACCUCAACAGCAAAUCUCUCUUGCAAAAAACACAAGUUUAGAAAGUACAUAUAAAUGAAACUUAAAUCAAACUAUUAUAAAUUACAUUCACGUUAUUACCUUAAUAUUAUCGAGAGCUUGAUUUUUGUUACUAUCAAGCAUAUGAUGCCAUGACUCAUAGUUGAUAGGAAACAGAUUGACAUUUCGUGCUAUAGUGCCCAAGUAUCCUGCUAAAAGUCGAGCUUCUGAUCCAAUAGGCUGACCAAGACUGUUUCUAGCUACUUUGACACGCUCGACAAAAUUUAACUCGUAUAAAUCUUUUAGUAGCAUACAUCCUCGAGUUCUGUGCGUCCCACUGCUUUCAGCUGAAAAAUGGUAUACUAUAAUAUAAGAAUUUGAAACAGAAAUUAAUAAUAAAAGUCAACACGCAUGUAAAUUAAAGUUUAACAUUAUUUUGAACUUCCGCAAGUUCGUCAGCUGUAUUCGAAACAUUCGAAGAUCUAAUACCAGUUUGUUGUUCACUAUUUGUUUCUUCCAAAUUUGGAGGAUUUUGAACAAUACUUAGAUUUCGCAAUCUUCUUCUGGCCAUUUUAUCUGCAAUACACAUAAAAUAGUUGAAAUUUUAGUAACUAAUUACAACAAUAAUAGUAAAUAUAAAAUAGUUGAAAUAUUUAACAAGAUCAAGAUUUAAAUUAUAAUAUUACAUAUAAUUAAAAAAUCGUAAAAUCUUACUAUAUCAUAAUUUGUAAAUAUCUUCAUCCACAUCUUGGCAAAUCCAUUGAAAUUGUGUACUAGUACUAGGGAUAUUUUCAUUUAAGUUUUGUCCUGAUCUUUCGUUGAUGUCAUCUCUACCUCCAUUGCCCAUGUAAAACAAGUCUCUAGGGGUGUUAUGGAGUACAACGUACUAACCCUCAUCAGUUGGAUCUUUCGAGUAAAAAACUUGUUUCACUUGAGAAGAAAAUACAUACGGCUCAUCUAUCAAUUGUUGUCCAGUGUGAAUUAAUCGAGAUAAAUUCACCAUUGUAAAACUAAAUUGAUCUUUUUUAAUUUCACGAGCAGUAUUAACAUCAGCCCAAUCACAUCAAAAUAAGACAACUUUCCGUUUGCCAUAGUAACCCAACUCAAUAAUGUUAGUAAAAAACCCGUAAUACUCCACAUUUCCCUCAACAGGAUUAUUGUCCCUAGCACUAGCAUAAUUUGUAAUUGAAGAAUUAACAACUAUUCCACAAUUUUGAGUCCUCCUCAAUCUUUCACAAGAUUUUGUAAGAAAUGCAACACAUUGAUUUUUACUUAAACGCCUAAUUGCUUCACGAUCAUUGAAAAGAAAACCAAGUCAAAGUAUUGAGUAAAGUAUAGUAGAGACGAACCAAGUGACAUCUCUAAAUAAUAUUCCACUUUUAGCAUGGUUUUGGUUCCAUUUUUAAAAUCUUAUAUUAAUUUUCAGUAAUUUAAAAAUACAGUAAUAUAUUUAUUUCUAUAUUAUGAAAUUAAAAUAACUAAUUGAAAAUCAUAUUACUUUUAUGUUGGAAUAAAACCCAUUUUGUCUCAAUUUUUGCUUCAAACAAAUCUAUUUUGCUUCAAAGCUUUUCAACAACACAAAUAAAUCCUUUAUCUAAUGAUCUGAUCAUUAUGUUCACAAGACAGUCCAGCUCACGACACUUUUCAGUAGUCACUACCAACCACAAGAAAGCUUCUAUUGGAUAUAUUCACUAUUUGACAAGAUGAUAAAUGUUAAUUGCUAUUUGAAAAAGCCAAAAUCAACCACAAGGAUUCAAGCAAACAAUCCUGAAUUUUAGUAAAUCCCACACUCCAACUAGACAGAUGAUUUUCAGAUAAAAAACCAGCUAGAUUGGAACUACAUCUUUCUUUAUAAGUAACACCUGAACAAGUAAAUAAACAUUGGGACUAGGCUAUGUAGUCUAGAAACAUUUGGUUUCCGCCUAACGAGGAGUAACAAAACCAGUUCUUUAACCAUGUAGUCUGGAAUUUCUCCGUUCCAUUCACCACUACGAAGUCCCCUCCAGGUCGAGCCUUUCGCCUAUUUCACUCUCCUUCAACUAGACCUUGAAGUCAUCAAUCAUCAAAUACUGCAACUAAAACUAAUUUAGAUCUAAAAAUUGUUUUCAUUUUCUCAUACCACUUUCAUCCUUGUAAUAAUAAUUUACGGUAACUAUUAGCUAUCAAGUCCAUCACGAUUCAUCCAAUUCCACCAACUGUAGCUAUAUCACAAAUCCUUUAUGCUCAACCAGGCUAAAUUACUAAGAAACUGGGGAAAAAAUUGCCACUAAAUUAAUUACAUUAAAAUGCACCGAUUUUGGGAAAAAAUACUAAGUCAUUUUGAGGUAACAAAACAACGUCAUUUUGCAAAAAAAUAUUCACAAUAAUGGUGUUUGGACCAAAAAUGUCACUAUUGCUCAACAUUUUGCAGCGUUCGGAACAAAAAUGCCACUAUUGCUUACCUUUUGCAGCGUUUAAGACGUUACAAUUUUUAUAUUGAAUUAUUGUAUCUUUCAUAUAAAUUUUAAAUAAAUAUUUUUUUAAAAUUUAAGUAAUAUUUAAAAGAAUUAGAUAAAAUUAUAAUUUUUAUAUAAUUUUUGAUGUGAGAAAACAAAAACAAAAAUGAUGAAAGAGUGCAUGAGUUGUCUAAAAAAAAUACAUGAUGGCCACUUGGAUGAUGGGUGAGUACAAGGAGCAAAACGGCAACGUGUUGUUUAAAAUAAAAUAUUUUUUUGUGGUGUUUUUAUCAAAACCCCUAAACAUAAACCAUAAACCAUAAACCAUAAAAUCAAAACACUAGACCCCAGACUUCAAACCCCAAACCUUAAACCUUAAAACCCUAAAAAUAUAAAUCAUACACUUUAAACCCCAAAUCCCUAACCAUAAACCCUAAACCAUAUAUCCUAAAACCUAAAAUAAAAUGAAUCUUUUUGUGGCGCUUUUAAAAAAAAACGCCGUUAUAGCUUACCUUUUGUAACGUUUUUCUCAUAAACGCCGCUAAUGCUUGACUUUUUUAAUGACAUACGAGCAAUUUUUAUAUUGAAUUAUUAUAUCUUUCAUAUCAAUUUUAAAUAAAUAGUUUUUAAAAUUUUAGAAAUAAUUUAAAAGAAUUAGAUAAAAUUUGAAAUUUUUAUAUAAUUUUUUAUGUAAGAAAACAAAAAAAAAAACAAAAACAAAAUAUGAAAAAAAAAAAGCUUUAAAAAAUUUUUCUCUUCUGUAAUUAUAUAUUCUUUCAAUGUUUUAGGAAACUUAAAUAACUUUUUCAAUUUACUAAUUAAUUUUGUUUCUCUGGAGAUGCAUGGGUUAGCAAUUUUUUUAAUUUUAAUAUAUAUAAAGUUUAUCUAUUAUCUCUUAAAUAAUUUAAACUGUAAUGAUAAUUUUAAUAUAUUAAAAUUAGUAUUAUCUUUUACAAUUAUAUAAGAAAUUAUUUAACAUAUAAAUUAAAAAACAAUUAGUUAUAUACCAAAAAAACUUUAAUAAUAGUAUUUUAAUUUUUUUCAUUUUUAACAUAUAUUUUUCUAUGUUUUUACUUUCAAAUUUUUUCUACGUAUCAUUAAUUUUUUCUGAAGAUUUUAAUUAUUAAAUUAAAAAUAUAUUGUAUUUUAAUUAAUAUAAAGAAACUAGUUAAAUAAUAAAUAGAAAAGGAUGAAAGAUGCAUGCAUGAGUGAGAAUACAGGGGGCAAAAUGGCGCCGUUUUGUUUAAAAUUUAAUGAUUUUUUCGGCGUUUCAAAAACGCCGGUACCACUACUACUAGACCCUUUGCGGUGUUUACGAGAAAAAUGCAUCUAAUGCUAGACCUUUUGCAGCGUUUUUCUCAUAAAUGCCGCUACUGCUUGACCUUUUGUAGCAUUUUUCUCAUAAACGCCACUAUAGCUCUAACAUUUUGCGGUGUUUCCUGAUUAGCGCCACUAAUAUAUAACUUUUGCGGCGUUUUUGGUCCAAACGCCACUAAAAACGCCGUUAAAAGCUUAAUUUCCUGUGGUGGAUGGAGACCGUAGGUCUUGUUUAGCGACCUUCUCCCAUUCAAUAUUUUAAAAUCAUGUAUGCGUUUUAAUGUCCGGUUUCAACAUGAAUGAUCAAUAUAUGCAUGGCAAGUACAUGUGACAUUCUUCCCUAAACUAUAUGGCAUGCUUAUCAUACAUAUGCAUGGACAUAAAUUCGCAGUAAUAUAAAUAUCAUCAUUCUUAUCUCAUAAAUAAAAGUGUAAAAAUUUAAAGACUUUGAAUAGCCAAAGUUUCCAUAAUUUCAUCCUAGGAAAAAUAAAAAAUUACAAAAUUCACCCUAACGCAUACUUUGGUUCACGUUUCCAUGCAUACUUUGGUUCACGUUUCCGUCGUCGUCAUCUUUCUAUCGCCAGUCUCCUACCGUCAGACCACCGCCAACCACCUACUGUCAGACCAUUGUUGGUCACUUGUUAGCUUGGCAGGGUUGCGUUUGCAUGGUCUCGAUAUGUUUGGAUGCAUUUCGGUUAUUUGGGUUUCGUUAAAAAAUAAUAUUACAAAAUUCUUAUGUCUGUUUCUAACUCAUUUUAUUCUCAAAUAAUAAAAUUAAAACCCUACGAGGAGAUGAUAGUCCACGAUCUAAAAUUUACAUGCCUGAAAAAAUAAUAAAUUAUGUUUAAUUUUCUAAAAAUCAUAAUUUUGGCAAAAUUAUUUUAAUAUAUGUAUUGUCGCUACUAGCCACAGUCGGACCACCGCCAGCCUCUUACUGCCUGACCACUCUCGGUCACUUGUCAGUUUGGUAGGACUGGGUUUGCGUCAUCUCGAUCUAUUUGGAUACGUCUCAGUUCUUUGAGUUUCGUCGAAAAAUAAUAUCACAAAAUUCUUAUGUCUAUUUUUGGCUCAUUUUAUUCUCAAAUAAUAAAAUUAAAACCCUACGAAGAGAUGAUAGUCCAUGAUCUAAAAUAUACAUGCACGAGAAAAUAAUAAAUAACAUUUUAUUUUCUAGGAAUCACAAUUUUGGAAAAAUUAUUUUACCAUUCAUAAUAAAAUAAUAUCAUACAUUUGUUCGUAUACAUUCCCCUAAACAUGCAUACAAUUAUAAGAAUGCCACAUUUUAUCAAAUAUAAUUGUACAUGAAAAAGAAAAGAGCAUUUUGGUCUCGGUUUAUACUAUAAACAUAGAACAAUCUGGCGUUUUGAUAACAAUUGUUGGAAAAAAUCUAGUUUGAAAAUGAUUUUCUUAUACAGCGAAAAAGAAAAAUUUUGAAAAUCGAUCUGAUUUGUGAUAUUUAUUACAAUAAACCCUAAACCAAAUUCGCACCUAUGUUUUUGGAUAGACGGAUCCUUAUGUUCCCGACUUUCAACUGAACAAUUUUCUCUACUAUUCUCAUACCACGAAAUGCAUUGAAUGUAGGCUCAAAUGAUUCAGAUCAAAAUAGAGAACUAGAAAUAGUUAUCUUUUCUUUUGGGGUGAAAACAAAAAAUCAUUUCUCAAAUAGAAACCGGUAGAAUUAUUAUUCUUAAAAACUAGAUUUAAUAGUUGAUAAUUAAUUCUCACUAUUUUUCGGUAAAGUAAUAAUAUCUUCAAGUUCUGUUAAUAACUCUACCGCUGCCAUCUAUGUGCAAGGAGAAAAAGUAAAACCUUUGUUGAAUCAAUAUAAAAGUUUAUAUCAACUCGAAAAGCGAACCCCUAGUCUAACUAGGAGUAUAGGGUCCGACAACCCUAAUCAAUAAUACUAGGGUUUAUGUCAUCCACCCCUUUAACAUGAGAGGCUUUUGGGCCUCUCCCAUAUCAAGUCCAAUUAUAAUUACUUCCGGGGCUUUUAACCCAAUAUUUUUAAUUUGAUCCAACCCAAUAUUUAUUUUUCUAUUUCCCAAACGAAAAAUCACAAUAUAUUUCUAAUUAAAUAAUCUUUUCAACCCAAUUCUAGUUCCAUUAAAAUCAUGAUGACUUUACCAUAAAAGAAUCUAUUAGAAAAUAUAUUUAAUAUUUUUAUAUUCAACGUUCAGUAUUGUCACACCCCAUAUUUUUUAUUAAUUAUUUUGUCAAUUCAUGAGCAACCAAGUUUUUAUUCUAGUGGUAAGCAGCUUAAUUAAUUCUUAGAGAAGCUAGGUUCAAUCCCCUGCACCACCACCGCCAUUAUUCACCAUUUUUCACCAAUUUUCAUCUCCUCUUUAUUUUUAUUUUUAUUUUUUUUGUAAAAAUCGAACUACUAAUUAUCCUCUAUUAUUUUUCUUAGAUCGUUAAUGAUUCUAAUUUUUAUUCUUUUUAUUUUUGAAUGAUGAUUUCCCUAGAUCAUCUUUUGUUGUAAACGAAGCAUUGUGGGAUCAAGGACUCAUCUUUUCCUUGGAAUUUUUCUAUUCUUCUUCGCACUGCUUGGAUCUAUAUUCUCACCUUAGGAAAAAAGUAUUUUCACUUGGAAGUUAGAUAAGAUUCAAGAUCAGAUUUCUUCCCUUGGAGUUGGAAUUUGAAUCCAGUUAUCGGAUCUACCAAUCAAGGUGUGAGUUUAACUUAUUAGAAAAAUCUAUUUAUGGACUUAUCUUCAAAUAAAAUAUAAAUAUUUAUUUAGAUUUAAAAUUUGAUAAAGAUCUAAACUGUCGAAACCAUUUUUAAAUCGAGGUUUGGAAAAUGGGAAUCGACUUUAAGAAAAACGAAAAAGGGAGUCGCCACCAAUCUUUUUUAGGUGUGAUUGGAUCACCUUAUAAAAUGUUUUGUUUUAAAACAUUAAUUUUAGUCUACGAAAGUCGAGAAAACGGAUUCGGGAGUCGGUUACGUACAAGGAAGGGUUAGCACCCUCGUAACGCCCAAAAAUUGGUACCUAAUUGAUUAUCACGUGCUUUUAAUGUCGGAAAUUUGAAAGUUUUAAGAUGCAAACCUCUUUUAAUUAGAAUGUUUUAAUUUUGAAUAUUAGAGUUUACUUGUAUCAAAUGAAUCAAAAUAUUACAUCCAAUAAGUUAGGAAGCAAUAUUUUUAAGACAUUCGAAGCUAAGCUAGCCUUUUUUUGAAAAUCCUUAUCUCAGAAUGACAAAACGACAUAUCCAAUAAGUUAGGACACAACGCUUUAAAAUUCUAAGAUAAUUAUUCAUAUUUUGAAAACCUUAAAAACUUAUAAGGGUGCUUGACUAUUCGAACUUAACGAGAAAAGUCGCAACCCAGUAAGUUAGGGCACUACCUUUCUCGAAGUUUCCAAAUACCAAGCAUUACCUUUUUAUUUUUGAAAACUUUUGAAUCUCGUUUUUUAAUUAAUGCAUGAAGAACCGUAUUAACAUUAUAGAAUAACAUAAAAGAUGGUAUAUUAUCAUAAUAGGUAAGUAAAAGCAUCAAUUUGAACAAAUUUUAAACAAUAUACAUGGCAAACUUAAAACAUGUAAAACAUACAUACAAAAAUAUACGACAUACAUUAAAAAUGAAUAAGUAAGCAUAUAAACAUAUAAGGUAUAACUCUAUAUACAUUUUAAUAAAUUAAUAGACAAAAGAUGAUGCAUGGCAUACAAUUUAACAUAAACAUGCCCAAAAUAAUAUUAACUUACAUGUCAAUUUUAAAAUACAACCUUUAAUAAUCAUAAAACAAUAUUCAUUAUAUAAAUGAUAUGUUCAACAUAAAAAAGAAUUAAUGUAUAUUAAAAUGUAAUAUAAAGUGAGUAAUUACUGAUAAAAAAUAUACCUAAAAUAUAAAUUAAAAAAAGUUUAAAAUAAGUUAUGUAUAAUAAUAUGAUAUGAAUAAAAUAUAAGAAAAUAUAAUAUAAGAUGAUAAUAAUACUAUAAUAAGUAUUUUGCACAUAAAAAUAUGAUAAAAUAAUUAAUAUAUAAUAUAUAACAUAUAAAAAACAAAAUAGAUAUAUAUAUACAUAUAUAUAUAAUAAAGUAUAAAAUAAAAAUAUAUAUAAGAAAGAUAAAUAUUAUAAUGAAUAUUAAAUAAUAAAACAUAGUAUGUAAUAGAAGUACAUAAAUAAUUAUAAUGAAAUAUAAUAUGGUGUAUGUAUAAUGAUAAUAAUGUAACAAAUAUUUAAUAUAUAAUAAAAUAAAUAAUAUAAUAAAAAUAUAUAUCAUAUAAUAAAAUUUUUAAACAUGUAUAAUGUAUAGCCUAUAUUAUAGGUAAAAUAUAAAAUAGUAAACAUGAUAUGAGUAAUUUUUAUAUAAUAAAAUAAAUAAUAUACAUACAUAAUAAAAAUAUAUAAUAAAAGAGAAGAUGUAAUAUAUAUAAAUGAAAUAUGAAUACUAUUAUAUAAAUAAAGAUAAUAUAUAUUAUUAUUUAUUAAUAAUUUUAAAAAAUUUUACCAUUUAUAAAUUUAAUAUAUAAUAAUAUAUAAUUUAUAAAAAAUAUAAAGAAAUAUAUAAAAUAAAAUAUAUAAUAAAAUAUAAUUUAUAGAUAAGAUAUAUAAUAAAAAAUGUAAUGGAUAAUAAAAAUAAUAUAUAUAACUAUUAUAAAAAAUAAUAAUAAUAUAUAAAGUAUUUAAAGUAAAUUAAAAUAUAAAAAGGAUUAAAAUUGAAUUUAAUUAGAAAAUCUAGGGUUAAUUUUUAAACUAACAAAAAGAAUUAGGCCUGAUUCGAAAGAAUUCAAACCUAUAAGGGACUCACUGGGCAAUUUGCCCUAAUCCCAAAAUGACACCGUUUCCCGAAUACCGUUUUAAAGUCACUGAGAGGACUAAAUUGAAACAAAACUAAAACACUAGAGCUAAAUCAAAAAAUAAAUAAAAUAGAAUCAUAAAUAUUAAAAUUGCGAGAGGACCAAUUGAGUAAUUAACCCAAUCUUCAAAAACAUGCGGAUCCUCCCCGGGUUAUCGGGUCAACACGCGGAUCCUUAGCUUUAAUAUGACGUCGUUUUAGGCUUAUUGGAUUAAGCCAAAAUGGCGUCGUUCUAUUAAGGCUAUAUAGGCCAAAUUUUAACCUAAAAAUCAUUUAGAAACCCGAUUUAAAAAAAAACUUAAAGAAAUCCUCUGUAGGAGGAUUCGGGGUCGGCCUCAGAGCCUCGUCGGGCCUCUGUUCUCAGGCGCUACGUGCCCACGCGCCAUCGCGAGGGCCACCGCGCACGGUGAUCGGAGGGCUAAAAACCCUCGUCCUUUCAAGGCGAAAACACAGGUAACUCCUUCGUUUUUUUAUAUUAUCAGUUUUUAUUGAAUAUUGAUUCGUAUAUUUUGUUGAAAAAAAAUAAAAAAAAAGAACGAAAUAUAAACUUAAAUCACCUUUUUAAAAGAAGCUGCCUGGGCUUUUAUGAAUAUGUGUAUAUAUCUUUUCUUCUGGAAAAAAAAAUCCCCCCUCUGUACAAUGAAAUGAUUCGGCUUUUAUAGCCUCCUUUUACAAGUUUAGUUUAUCUCUAUUCGAUCUCUUACCUUGUUCGCUGCUGUUUUCUUUCCCUUUUUUGCAGGUAUUCGCAAGGAAUCCGGUGGUAAUGAAGGCUUGACGAUGGAGGCGAAAGACCGGGCAUUGACUGCGCCUUGACUUGCAGACUGAUGGAGGGUAGCUGGAACGUCAUGAAAUGAACAGACGCGUUGAUUGCAUCGUAAUCCGAGGCUGAUGUCAGUUGCGAUUACUAGGAAGCCUUGUGGCGCGAACCUUAGCUAGGGUUCCUCAGAAGCUGAAAGUAGGUUGGGCCGAUUGGGCUAGCUGGUCUGUGUUUGUUUAUUGGGUCAAAAAAAAGUAUUUUGGGCCUGAUGUUAGUUUUAGGUAUGGGGUUAAAUGUAAACGGGUUUAGGUAUUUGGGCUGUUUAUUGUAACUGGACUUUAAUAAAUAAACAUUUAUUUAUUUAUUUUUAUUUGUUUAUCUCAUGGGCCCGGGCAGAUUUGGGCUACUACAGCUGCCCCUCUUUGCUUAUUGCUGUGUAACAGGAAUCAAGCAAAGACUUAUAAAAAGACUAAAUUUGCCUGGCCUUAUCGGAUUAUGGUCCUCAGUCUUCUCAUUACAAACUCAAGGCUGUCAUGUCGAUAUUUUCGAUCGGCUCUCCGUCGAACACAGAGAUACCAAAUCAUCUUAGAUUUGCUUCAACGUAAACACGUGAAAGCCAAAUCAGCUAUGUCUUCGAUCUGCUCUCCGUCGAACACAGAGAUGCCAAAUCAUCUUAGAUUUGCUUCAAUGUAAACACGUGAAAGUCAAAUCAGCUAUGUCUUCGAUCUGCUCUCCGUCGAACACAGAGAUGCCAAAUCAUCUUGGAUCUGCCUCAAUGAAGGUCAAAUCUGCUACGUCUUCGAUCUGCUCCCCAUCGAAUACAGAGAGAUAAGAUCUGUCAUCUUGGAUCUACUCCCCAUCCAUUAUAGAGAGAUAAGAUCUCUCAUCUUGGAUCUACUCCCCGUCCAUUACGGAGAGAUACGAUCUGUCAUCUUGUAUCUACUCCCCAUCCAUUACAGAGAGAUAAGAUCUGUCAUCUUGGAUCUGCCCCCGUCCAUUACAGAGAUAAGAUCCGCCAUCUUGGAUCUGCCCCGAUGAAGGUCAAAUUUGCUACGUCUUCGAUCUGCUUCCCGUCGAAUACAGAGAGAUAAGAGCUGUCAUCUUGGAUCUACUCCCCGUCCAUUACAGAGAGAUAAGAUCUGUCAUCUUGGAUCUACUCCCCGUCCAUUACGGAGAGAUAAGAUCUGUCAUCUUGGAUCUACUCCCCGUCCAUUACAGAGAGAUAAGAUCUAUCAUAUUAGAUCUGCCCCCCGAUGAAGGUCAGAUCUAUUAUAUCUUCAAUCUGUUCCCUAUCAAAUACAGAGAGAUAAGAUCUAUCAUUUUGGAUCUGCUCCGUCUAUUUCAAAGAGAUAAGAUCUUCUAUCUUCAACUUGUUCCCUAUAAGCACAGGGAUGCCAUGUUGAAAUAUUCAAUCUUCUUUCUCCCCUAGAGGACAUAAACUGUAGAAUGUGUAUGUACCUAUGCCUAAUGAUUAGGAUGCUAUGUUUGAAAUGAGUCAAAUGCUCCUAAUUAGACAUAUUAUGAUAUAAAAUGAAAAUGACUUUUAUUUCGGACAUCUUGAUUCAUUCAAGUUUCGUUUUGUUUCACUCAAAAUACCAACCCUAUUUUGCUCGUAUGCUUAGAACCCUCUCCAUCGAUUUGGUCCAUUGUACCAUUCCCACAUGUUACAACCCACUGGAGAUAUUUAUGAAAUGAUCCUUUCUUAGGAUCAACAUCGUCUAAUCACUGUAAAUAGGCCAAUUUUCCCGGCCCCCUUUGAAACCCAAAUAUAAAUAUUAAUAGUCCAAAGUCCAAAUAAUUACAAUAGUCUACGGGCCAAUAACCAAUCAAAGCCCAAUUACAAGACCAGAACUUAAACCUUAUAACAGUUUAUUAACAGGCUUUGACCCAAAUUAAAACAAUAAUACGUAGACCCAAUAACUAAUGCCCCACAACCAAUACCCAAUCCCCAAAUUAACCCGAGACCCAAAAUCACAUUGGCCCAAAUGGCCCAGAAAUUUUAGAACCCUAGGGUUCUUUCCCAUGCGCCGCAACCAGCCAAGCCUCAGCGCCUCCGUACGCUCCAGUCUCCAGCAACCACACCUACACAGCCCCGUACGCCUCGCGCCAAGGGCCAACGCCCGCCCGUACUCUACCUGCAAGAAGGACAAUCCACACAGCAGCAAACACGAACAAAAUAGCAGAAAAACAAAUGAAAAUGGCAUUUUUAAUUUAUUUUCCUUUUUUAUUUUUUUUCCUUCGGCUAUAAAGCCAUAGUUCUUAGUUUAUGUAAAGGUUAUGAACGCCUACAUAUUUUUACGCAAGAUAUACGAGCAAUACAAAAAGCAACCAAUAUCAGAAGGUGAUUUUCCGAUCUAAAUCUCCGGGCUUUCUUUCUUUGCGAUUAUUCUCUUGUUUUUUUUAUUUUACUUUGAAAGCAAAUAAAGUAAAGAGGAAAGGAUCUACCUGCGCAUAUGAGCCAUUGGAGACCAUCUCUUCUUCGUUGAGAUCGAAGCAUAAGAGAGGUUUUCGGGCUAAAAAUCUAACCUUUUGGGGCGGGAUUUAAAGUAGGAAAAUGAAACGACUUCAGGGCGAGCUAUCUUCCAUCGGUUUCAAUGGUGGAAUGUGGUAGUCAAAUGGUCGAACAGAGGGUUAGGGAAGCAUCGAAAUCAGCUGUGUUGAAACCCUAAUAAUUGGGUUCUCUGCUUAUGGCUAAAAGGGACAGCAAGCUGCCAUUCAAUGGCCUUUAAUUUUAGGAAUGAGACGAAAUAGCGCCGUUUGGGAUAUUAAAGGUCAGCGCGUCAACUCGGAUAGCAACCCGGAUCCGCGCCUUUUCAUUUGGAAUGGGAAAUUUGCGCGCUGGGUCCUCUAUAUUCGCGCGAGCCUUCGAUUGCGCCUUAUGCGACUUGCUUUUUUUAUUAUUUAGGCUUAUAAUUUGUGCUUUGUUGCAAUCUGACCCGCGCCUAAACGCAUCAUUUUGGGUUCUGGUAUAUUGCCAGUUUUAGUCCCUUGCAUUCGCGGGCGCGUCAAAAAUUAGUCCUUUUCCUAAUUUCAGCAACUGACUUUAUUUAUUAAUGAUCCUUUUAGUUUCAUUUUUGUUUCAAAUGAGUUUUUCUUUGUUAUUUUCAGCAUUUUUAUUCUUUGAAACCCUUCUAUUUUUGAGACUUACUUAUUAUUCACCAUUUAAUAUAUUAUUUUGGAAUAUUUUAUCAAGUUUUGCAUGGUUUGUUAUUCGUACUGUUAUUUAUAUGUAAAUACAUCUGUCCAUGUAACUAUAUAUAUACAUAUAUACAUCUAUCUAUUUUCUUUUAAAUUUUUUUGUUUAAACUCCUAUAUAUAUACAUUUUAUAAUAAGGUUACUUUUAUUUUACGCAUGUUAUUAAUCUUACAUUAUUCUAUACAUAUAGUUUCUUUUAAAUAUAUUCUCGUCUUUUAUUAUAUAAUCUCUUAUAACAUGGUUUUUAAAUUAUUAUGGUGUAUAUAUAUAUGUGUUUUUUUAUUAACACCUAUGCUUAAUCUAUUUAUAUAUAUAUGUUACUAAAUCUAUGUAUUUAUACUCGUAGUUUUCUUUAUAUAUAUAUAUGAGCACGUUUGUAAAACUAUUAUGUAGUUUAUAAUAAAAUUAAUUUAGCCCUAUACAUAAUAUUUAAAUGUUUUUGCAUGUAUUUGCCUUUAGAUUUAUAUGUAUGUAUAUGUAUAUAUCUUAUUAUUAAUCUCAUUUUUUACAAUAAACUUACGUAUACACAUGUUUUAUAAAUUUAUUUUGUGCAUUAUGUCUUGUCAUAUAUCUCCACUAUUCUUUUGUAUUGUAUAUAUUUUAAAUUAUCGCAUACUUUUGUCAACUUUUUAAAUAAAUUUGUGCUGAAAUCAUUUUACAUCUAAUUUAAUUCAAAUUUUGAUUUUCUAAUAUCUAUUUCAAUAAUUAUAUAUAUAUUCUUAUUUUUAUGCAAAUCUGUCAAUUCAUACAUUAUGUGUUUUAAAAUAUUCAUUCUACGAUAUAUAUAUUUUAAUGAUUGCAUGUGUCUAUUAAGCUUGACAUUAUUUUACAAUAAUCUUAUACCAUGUUGCUUCUUUGAAUUGCAUUCUAUUUUAUGCCUCUAAUAAUUUUAUUAUGUCAUGUAUGCCGUCGUUGCAUUUUAUUCAUUAUUGCCAUGAUUAAUUGUUCUCCAUGCAUCAUUGAGGUUGAGUCAUAUUUUCAAGCUAAUUAUAUUUAAUUGCUCAUUUUCUUGAUUGAUCGAUAUUCUCAUUCAUCAAGUAUGGUAUCUCAUACGCGCCUAUUAUCCCAUCUCAUCGUUUUCAUUUGGUUUUUUGAAAUGUGGUUUUAUAAAAUCUGAUUUCUUUGAUUAAUUUCAUCUCAUUUCAAAUCGAAUUAAUACGUUUUAAAGCUAGUUUUAGAAGUAUUCUUUUAAAAGUUCUUCAAAACGAAAAAUGAGAUUCGAUGUUUGGUAAUUCGCGGAAUCGUGCCCUAACGUGUUGGGUUACAAUUUCGCGUUUGCUCAAAAUAAUCGAAUAUCGCUUUGAAAUUUCAUUCAUGUUUGUUAAAAUUCUCCCAAACGAAGACGACAUUCGAUAUUUAGUAAUUCACGGAAUCGAGCCCUAACGUGUUGGGUUACAAUUUCGCGUUUGCUCAAAAUAAUCGAGUAUCCCUUCAUGAUUUCAUUCAUAUCCUCUAAAAAUUUUUAAAACAAAGGCAAUAUUCGGCGUUUGACAAUUCGAGAAUCAUGCCCUAUCGUGCUGGGUUGUGGUUUCUGGUUUGAUCAAAAUGAUCGAACAUUCCUUUGCAUUCUCACUUAUGUUUAUAAAAAAAAUGCUUAAAAGCGAAGACGAUGUUUAAUGUUUGGCGAUUUGAGAAUCGUGCCCUAUCGUGCUGGGUUGCACUUUUUCAUUGGUCCGAAGCAAUUGAAGAUCCCUUCGGAGUUUCCCUCACAUUUUCUAAAAUCUUUCAAAAUGAAAGCGAUGUUCAAUGUUUGGCGAUUUGAGAAUCAAGUCCUAUCGUGCUAGGCUGCGCUUUUUCAUUUGCCCAAAAUAAUCGAACAUCUCCUCGGAAUUUUCACACGUAUUUUAUAAAGUAAGGCAAUGGUCAAUAUUUAGAAAUUCGAGGAAUCGUACCCUUCUGUGAUGGGUUUCGAUUUUUCGUUGGACCAAAUAGUUAAGCAUCCUCUGUAAUUCUCUAAUUAUAUACUUUCGGACAUCGAAACGAGAAAUUUUGGCAACCAACUCGGCUUAUUUAAACGUUAUUAACAAGAACCACAUUUCAAAAACAUUUUAAUUUUGGACAUAAGGACAGUAUUUAAUCGAUUUGGUACCAAUUUUGGGCGUAAUGAGGGCGCUAAUCCUUCCUCAUAUGUAACGACUCCCGAGCCCAUUUUCUCAUAUUUUCGUAGACCAGAAUCGUUGUUUUAGUAAACCAAAAUAGUUUUAUUAAAAUAAUCAAAUUCUUAGGUGAUCUGAUCACACCAAAACAAAAGGAUCGAUGGUGACUCCAUGUUUUCAUUUUCCAAAAAGUCAAUUUCACCAUUUUUCAUUAAAAUUUUUUAAAUCAAGGGAUGGUUUCGACAGCUUGGCCACUCCACUGGGGAAUUGAGAGUCGAGCCAUAAAAAUCGAUUAUUUACUGUCCUUUUGUUAAAAAAUUGAAAAUUUAUUUUAAAAAUCAUGUAUCUUUCGAUUAAAUUUGAUUAUAUGCUUGUUUUGGUGCGGGUUUUGUAGAUUAGGACUGCAUUUCAUUACAUGACCACUAUGGUCACACCUUCUAAGUGGGAGUAAGAAGCUACGCUUUCGUGAGGUUUUCACCUUCACAUGGGCUAGUGGAUCACUUCUGGGGUACAUCUGUACCUAUGAUUUCGUGAGAUCUUCAUCUCCGCAUCGUCAUAGGGAAAUGCAUCCCCCCAAACUGAACUCGAUCUAUAUGAGCCUAUAAUAGGUGAGGAUUGAGGAAUCUACUGGUUCGGGUACCCCUUUUCCUAGAACUAAACCACAUAUAGUGAACCUUAGGAGCUAUCCUUAGGUGGAGCCAUGUCGAGCCUUAGUACUUACCCGUAUAUGCGUUAUAAUCACCGUUUAUGUGCUUGCAUUCUAUCGCUAUUAUUUGAUACUAACCGAUGUUUUGUUUUGAUUGUCUUUUUUUCAUGACAUUGCACACUAAAGGAGGCGUUAAUCUACAUUCAAUUACUAAGUUAGAAAAUUUGACAUGGAGAAUGAAUUUUUUAGUAAAGUCGAGGAUAAUGCGGCCGUUCGUGCUUGGUCAGAGAGGCUACAAUCUGAGAGAGGGGAUAGCUUGGAAGAAGGGUAUGUGUCGGAGCUGCAGGAUUUCACUCGCGUCAAUGUAGUAUAGAAUGAGCUGCAAGAGUUGAGAGACAUUUGGGUUAGUUGGAAUGGAGGAAUCAAGCAGUUGUUUUACCAAAGCUAUGGUGACAUAUCCUACCUGCUAGAUAUUAGAGUGGAUAAGCAUUUGUUCCGAGCCUUGGUACAGUUUUGGAAUUCCGCAUACAAGUGUUUCACCUUUGGAGAAGUGGAUUUGGUACCUACCAUGGAGGAAUACACUAUGCUGCUUAGGUGUCCAAAGAUUCAAGUCCGGGAGACUUAUGCCCGGGUUUUUAGUAAUCAGGCUUUCGUAAAGAAACUGAUGAGCAUUUCUGGGAUGAACGAGCCUUGGGUCACCGCUCGGAUUCAGCAAAAAGGAGAUAACAAAUGUAUCCCUUGGAAGAAUUUGCGAGGUUUGAUCUUGACUCAUCCAGACGAAAGAAAGAGGGUCGAUAUAUUUGCCUUAAGCAUCUACAGAUUAGUGAUCUUUCCUAAGGCUUUAAGGCACGUGGACGAGGUGGUCAUUGACUUGUUUGAUCAUCUUGAAAAGGGAAUCACACCAGUACUGACAAUAUUGGCAGAAACGUUCAGAUCUUUGAGCUCAUGUCAGAAGACAGGCGAGGGGCGAUUUAUUGGAUGUGCUCAACUAUUGAUGGUAUGGUUUCAUGGGAACUUUUGGAAGGUGGAUAAGGUUUCCUAUCGAGUCUUUUUCGAAGGUUAUUCCCUUUUGAAAGAAGAGGCAGCCAUACAGAGGAGAGAGGAUAUCUCGGAGGAGAAGUGGAUGGAUAUUUUUUAGAACCUCAAGGAGGAGGAUAUCGAGUGGAGAGCUUAUUGGAUGGUUCCUAAUGAGAUCAUGUACCGAUGUGGUAACUUUGAUUGGGUGCCGUUGUUAGGAAUCUGGGAAGCUACUGGGUAUACUCCAUUGAUAGCCUUGAGGCAAUACAAGUCGAGGCAGUUUGUACCCACGACCUACGGACUUGCUCAGAGUGAAUUCUCGUUUAAAGGUGCUCACUAUAAGAAGAGAGUUCGGGAAUUAUGAGAUGCUUGGAAGUAAACUUGUUGGAUGAAGAGGUUAGCCGUCGGUUCUAUGGUAAACUCGAGUACAGCGAGUGGUUUAAGAGGAGGAUUAAUGACAAUAUUCCUAGGCCAAGCUUGGAGAGUGCUCGACCUGUCGGGGAACAAUUACAAGCCGCCCCGUCAGAAUUAGAAAUUAUAAAGUAAGAUUUCGAGAAAAGGAGUGUGGAGCUCGGGAAGAAGAUCGAGCAAUUGGAAGAAGAGAAUAUGCAUCUAAGAUUAGAAGCUGAUGUCUAGAGGUCAGAGGUUGAGAAGUGGAGGAAAGGAAAAACUAAGGCUGAAGAAGAUCUAGACAGCUUGAAAAUGUACUACAAGAAGUUAUGCCUAUCUAUGAGGACUGCGGGUUUAGGUAAGACUUCUGAACAAUGGCGCCAUGAAAUUUGGGAAGAAAAGGCCAAUACCGACCGGUGGGAAAGGAAAUUCUGAGAAGUUCAAGCACGAAACGAAGAUUUGGAGAAAAGUCUGUCAGAAAGCAGAAAUGAGCGAGGGGAAUUAAGGGCUAGAGUGGCAGAACUUGAGAAGUCCCUACAUCAGUACCGAAACCGCAACACUGUGACAGAAUUGAGGGCAAGCUUGACCAAAAUACAAGAAAUGAAAGGAAGAAUAGAAGAGUUAGAGGCGUCUCUGCAAAAUUGCGAGAUGCGGAUCCAGUUUUUUGAGGCAAAUGAGGAUCGUUGGAAGGAGCAGCUUCACCAUGCGCAAGACCAAGUCAGAAACAGAGAUUACCUUAUGGGGGAGGCCAUAACCCAGAUUCGGGAAGUAGCGGACUACUUGCAAACUUUAGCUAUUCAGGUGGACACAUUGAGUGUGAAGUACGAGUUGGAGUCGGAUCACGGACAAGAGCUGGCUUCGCUACUUAGAAAAAUUAGGACUUUGAGUGUUAGAGCGAAAUUUUAUUUGUAACUCGACUUUAUGUAAAAGAUUUUAUUUUCAAGUAAAAUUUUCUAAGGGCAAUUGAAUCAAAAGUUGAUGCCUCCUUUGCAUUCAUGCAUUUGCAUUUGCAUCAUAUCAUUAUGCAUUAAAGGCUAUAAGAGUUUUCUAAUUAAUUAACUAAAAAUUAUUUCAGUAAUCUGGAAACCAACGAAAACCAACCAACCACACAUCCCUAUGAUACAAGGAAAAAAUCAAUGGAUAAGAGACUCGAGAAAUUGGAGCAGAUGCAAAAAGACAUGCAAGAACAAAUGCAGUCUCAGAUGCAAGAGCAACUAGCCAAGAUUCAACGAGAGAUGAAAGAGCAAAUGAUGGAGUCCCAGAGGGAAAUGAUGAGUCAGUUAUCCCAAUUGCUAUUGGGAGGAAUAGAUAAGGGAAAGGGCCCCAUGGACAAAAUUAAAGAAACUAACGAAGAUCAUCAAUACCCUUCUAGCUUCGCUCCGACACACGUAUCGAUGAAGCCUGAGAUUAACCUACCGAAACCAUCUGUCACGAUCAUGCCCCAGCCAGUUCAAGCCAGAGCUUCAAUACUGAUGAACCUCCAAACCGGCUCAGGCUCUAACUUUGUCAACAACCCAAACUAUCCACCCGUUCCUGACUUGGAUGAAAUUGCUGAAGAAGAAAAGGCGAGGAUGGAUUCACAAAAACAAUUGGAAGAAUGGUGUAGAUGGCUUGAGGAGAAAUUCAAAGCCAUGGAGAGCGCGGACCAUCGUCAAGGGAUCGAUGCCAAGGACCUGAGUUUGGUCCCAGAUUUAGUCCUUCCCCCAAAUUCAAAAUGCCCGAAUUCAAAAAAUACAAUGGAACGAGCUGCCCUGAAGCCCAUAUCACUAUGUUCUGCAGGCGAAUGAUGGGAUAUGUUAACAAUGACCAGCUAUUAAUCCACUGCUUUCAAGAUAGUCUGGUCGGGGCGGCAUCUAAGUGGUAUAACCAAUUAAGCCGAGCUAAAAUUAAUUCAUGGAAGGACCUAGCUCAGGCCUUUAUGAAGCAAUACAGUCAUGUGACGGACAUGACCCCCGACAGAAUCACUCUUUAGAAUAUGGAGAAAAAGUCAAAUGAAAGCUUCAGGCAGUACGCACAAAGAUGGAGGGAGGUGGCCAUACAAGUUUAGCCACCACUUCUAAAAAAGGAAACAACGAUGCUCUUUAUAAAUACCUUGAAGGCCCCUUUUAUCACUCAUAUGUUGGGAAGCACCACCAAGAGCUUCUCUGACAUAGUGAUGACAGGGGAAAUGAUUGAAAAUACUGUGAGAAGCGGUAAGAUAGAAGCUGGAGAAAGUACUAGAAAGUUGAUCCCGAGGAAAAGAGACAAUGAAGUGAACAACACGAGCACAUCUAACAAAGGUCAGUCCAAGUCAUUCACCGUAAAUCAACCCAAGACGGUGACCACCAGUCAGCAAAGUUCUGUAAGACAAGAACCAACGCGAGGGAGAACACAGAAAGACCACAAUUCACCCCUAUACCCAUAACGUAUAGGGAGUUGUACCAAAACCUAUUCAACGCUCAUGUGGUCUCCCCUUUCUACCUGAAGCCACUGCAGCCCCCGUAUCCCAAAUGGUAUGACGCGAACACCCAAUGUGAGUACCACGCGGGAAUCACCAGGCACUCUAUCGAAAACUACGCUACGUUUAAAAAAUUAUUUGAAAAACUCAUUAAGAUGGGGAUAGUAAGAUUUGACGACCUAGCCACAUCCAAUGUAGCAGGAAAUGCGCUCCACAAUCAUACCAACCAAGGAGUGAAUGGGAUAUGUGAAGGCUUGAACAAGAAGACCAAGUAUGAGGUUGCGGAAGUCAGGACUCCGUUGAGGCGAGUAUGGAUGGAGAUGGUCAAGAGAAGAUUGAUCGCGUUGGAUUUGAGGGAAGAACCUGAAGAAGAGAGAAACUACUUUGAGUUUCACGACGAAGCGGGCAUGAAAUCCAAGAUUUCGUGGAGUUCAGGGCCCUAAUACAAAACAUGAUGAACAAUAAGGAAAUGGAAUUCUAUGAAGAGACCAAAGACCCCGUAGAGGGAAAUAUAUGUGCAUUAGAGGGAGGAUCGGCAGCGCAGAAUCAAACGAACAGCUACCUUGUGGUUAUCAUAUCGAGACCCAAAAAUAAUAAAGCUGAAGUACAAAUGCCACCGACGGUCAUAAUCCAAAGACCUGCAGUCUUUCCUUACAAGGACAACAAAAAGGUCCCAUAGAAUUAUGAUUGCAGUGUGACGAUGCUGGGAAAGGAGAGCCUGGUUGGCGCUUCAAGAGGGGAUCAAGACAGAGGUUCCUAUACACGUAGCGGGAGGCGUUACGAUAUGGUGAAUGAAGAGGAACAGCCCACAAAAGGAAAAGCCCAGGUGGUCGAGGAAAUGAAAGGAAAAGCAACCAAGCUUGUUAAUGAGCCACUUAACGAAGAGGAGGCUAAGGAGUUUUUAAAAUUCCUAAAGCAUAGCGAAUACAGUGUGGUGGAACAACUACGUAAACAACCAGCCUGCAUUUCAGUGCUAGCCUUGCUUCUAAGCUCGGAAGUUCAUCGUAGCGCACUAAUGAAGGUCUUAAACGAGACAUAUGUUGCCAAUGAUAUCUCCGUUAACAAGCUGGACUGGUUGGUGAGAAACAUAAGUGCCGACAAUUAUAUCUUCUUUAAUGAUGACGUGAUACCACCCGGGGGCAUGGGGUCAACUAAAGCUCUGCAUAUCACCAUACGCUGUAAAGGGUAUACGCUGCCAGGCAUACUGAUCGAUAAUGGAUCAGCCUUAAACAUCUUGCCAUUGACCACACUGAACAGAUUACCUAUAGACAACUCUCACAUGAAGGAGUGCCAGAACAUCGUGAAGGCAUUCGAUGGUACGGAGGAAAGGUGAUGGGCAGAAUCGAGGUACCUCUUCAGAUUGGCCUAAAUAUAUAUGAGGUGGAUUUUCUUGUGAUGGAUAUCAAGCCCUCAUACAAUUUCUUGUUGGGGAGGCCCUGGAUACAUUCAGCUAGGGCAGUGCCUUCCUCGUUGCAUCAAAAAUUGAAGCUAAUAUCGGAAGGGAGGUUGAUAACGAUCAAAGCUGAGGAGGAUAUUAUUGCAACUGUGAGCAAUAAUGAACCCUAUUUGGAGACGGAUGACGAAGCAAUCGAAUGUUAAUUUCAAUCUUUGGAAUUUGUUAAUGCAACAUUCAUCGCCGAGGGAAGCAAAAUUCUGGUACCGAAGUUGUCCAAAACCACGAGGAUGAGCCUCCAGUUGACAUUUGGAAAAGGGGCCCUACCCGGAAGGGGACUUGGGAAACAUCUACAAGGAAGGGUUGAAACGCCUAUGCUGAAAGACAAGAGAGACCGCUUCGGCCUAGGAUUUAAGCCGGAUGUCAAACAAUAGAGAAGGAAGCUGGAAAAGAAGCAAGAAAGAAGGAGAGCUCGAUUAGCGGGGGAGAAAAUCAAGUGGGAACCAAUGAUAUUCCCCCAUAUAUCGAAAACAUUUGCGUUUGGGGGAAUUAUUCACCCCGAGAGAGACACGCUAAUGACGGGAGCUAUAGAAAAAAGCCUGGAAAGUUUGGACAUCAACGUCAUGUACGAAGAGGAGACUGGAAGAGAAAAUUUGUCCGGCAUUUGCUUCUACACGCCUGGAAGUGUUCUGGACAACUGGACUGCGGAAGAGAUCCCUGUAGUUUUUAGGACAGAUUCAGAGUAAUGUCCAAAACACACUUAUUGCUCUAGGCCUAGGAGUAAUAAGAAUCUUUUGUGAAAUAGGCCGAGGUUUAAAAACGUUAUUUCAAUAAAAUGCACGGUUAUUAUCAUUUUUGAGCAAAUGUUCUCUCGUCCUCUCAAUUUCAUUCAUAACCAUACAAGUGAUUACUUUCGAAUUCUUUUAUCCUUGAAACAUUCUUCUAAAUAUUCUUUCAUUCGUCAUUCAUAAUCAUACCAUGCAAAUAAAUGUUUUGAAUUCUUUUGAUUCUUUGUAUCUGCCUUCAUCCUCAUAGCAGUUCCCCAGAUAUUAAUGAUACGAGUGACACUGCUAGACUCAGAAUUUCCUUUCGAGCAAGAUAUGAGUAUGGAUGAUUCUCAGGAUCUUGAAGAUGACGAAGGCUGUAACCUAUCUCUUGAUUUGUUGAGGAUGGUAGAACAAGACGAGAAACAAAUCCUACCUCAUAAAGAAUCAGUUGAAAUUGUGAGCUUAGGAGAAGAACAAGAGGUGAAGAUCGGAACAUGUAUCACUGCGGAAAUGAAGCGAGACCUCAUUGAACUACUUCAAGAAUUCAAUGAUAUCUUUGCCUGGUCAUACCAAGAUAUGCCUGGGUUGGACACUGAUAUCGUGGUGCAUCGACUUCCCAUAAAAAAGAGUGUAAGCCAGUUCAGCAAAAACUCCGAAGAAUGAGGCCCGAUGUCUUGCUAAAAAUAAAGGAAGAGGUUCGAAAGUAGUUUGACGCUGGAUUUCUGAAGGUGGUAAAAUACUCAGAUUGGGUAGCCAACAUCAUCCCUGUCUCUAAGAAAGAUGGAAAAGUGCAAAUGUGUGUGGACUACAGAGAUUUGAAUAAAGCCAGCCUAAAAGACAAUUUCCUACUGCCUCAUAUUGACACCCUGGUGGACAACACAGCGAGACAUUCACUGUUUUCAUUCAUGGACGGUUUUCCAGGAUAUAACCAGAUCAAGAUGCAUCCUGAAGAUAUGGAGAAAACCACAUUUGUAACCAUAUGGGGCACGUUCUGCUACAAGGUGAUACCAUUUGGACUGAAGAAUGCGGGGGAAACUUAUCAAAGACCCAUGGUAACCCUUUUUCACGACAUGAUGCAUAAAGAGAUCGAGGUUUAUGUCGAUGACAUGAUCGCAAAGUCUCGAACAGAGAAGGAUCACAUUCAAGUCUUGAAGAAAUUGUUCUCGAGGUUGAGGAAAUUCCAGCUAAAACUCAACCCCGCCAAAUGUACAUUCGAGCCAAGUUUGGAAAAUUGCUCGGAUUUAUGGUUAGCGAGAAAGAAAUCAAGAUCAAUCCAGACAAAGUUAAAGCCAUACAAGAGCUAUCCCUGCCGGGUACCCAGAAGGAGGUUCGAGGUUUUCUAGGAAGAUUAAAUUACAUUGCUCGGUUCAUCUCACAACUGACCGAGAAAUGUGACUCUGUCUUUCGCCUCCUCAAGAAACAUAAUCCAGGAGAGUGGGAUAAAAAAUGCCAAAGGGCUUUCGACAAGGUCAAACAGUACUUAUCUAAUGCCCCGGUGUUGAUGCCACCUAACCCCGAUAAGUCAUUGAUACUGUAUUUGGCAGUAUUCAAAAAUCCCAUGGGAUACGUAUUGGGUUAGCAUGAUGAGUCAGGAAGGAAAGAGAAGGCCAUUUACUAUCUUAGUAAAAAGUUCACAAAAUGUGAGACAAGGUACCCACCGAUAGAGAAGUUGUGUUGUGCCCUAAUUUGGACAACCCGAAGACUGAGGCAGUAUAUGUUAUAUCACACCACUUGACUUAUCUUAAAAUUGGACCCCUUAAAGUACAUGAUUGAGUCAACAGCCUUGAAUGGAAGGAUGACCCGAUGGCAGAUUCUACUUUCUGAAUUCGACAUAGUCUAUGUGAACCAGAAAGCGGUAAAAGGAAGUGCAAUAGUAAAUUUCCUGGCCAGUAAAGCUUUGGAAGACUACGAGCCUUUGAACUUCGACUUUCCGAAUGAAGACCUAAUGUGUGUUGCUGCCACUAAAGUGGGUGCUCUUAAAGAACUUCCAUGGAAAUUGAAUUUUGAUGGGGCGUCAAAUGCUGUGGGCAAUGGAAUCGGGGCCGUCUUAGUAUCCCUAAACAGAUAUCAUUAUCCAUUCACUAGUAAGUUGGAUUUUGAUUUUACGAAUAAUAUGGCGGAAUACGAGGCGUACAUCAUGGGAGUCUGCACAGCCAUAAAACGCAAGAUUAGAGUGCUAAAAGUGUAUGGGGAUUCCGCGCUAGUGAUUUAUCAACUCAAGGGAGAAUGGGAGACCAGAGACCCCAAGUUGAUCGACUAUCGAAAACUAGUCCUUAAAUUGGUUAAAGAGUUUGAUGACAUUACCUUCCAUUACCUUCCACGAGACGAAAAUCAGAUGGCUGAUGCUUUGGCUACCUUAGCCUCCAUGAUCAAGGUAAACAAACAAGAAGAUGUCAAACCCAUCCGGAUGAGCAUUUAUGAAAUUUUGGCCCACUGUUACAAUAUUGAAGAAGUUGAAGAAAGAGAUGAUCACCCUUGGUAUCACGAUAUAUUGCAAUACGUGAAGAAUCGUGCAUACCCGGGCUAGGCAAGAGAGAAUGACAAAAGAAUGCUAAGAAGACUGGCCAUCGACUAUGUCUUAGAUGGGGAUAUAUUAUACAAAAGAAGAAAGGAUCAAGUGCUAUUAAGAUGUGUAGAUGUUGUAGAGGCUAAUAAAAUCUUGAAAGAAGUCCAUGAAGGUGUCUGUGGGACACAUGCUAACGGUUUUACAAUGGCCAGCCAAAUUAUGAGAUUCGGGUACUAUUGGUCCACCAUGGAAGGAGACUGUGUCAAUUAUGCUAAGAGAUGUCAUAAGUGCCAAAUCUACGGAGACAAAAUUCAUGUGCCUCCUUCACCGCUGCAUGUCAUGGUUUCUCCAUGGCCAUUCUCUAUGUGGGGCAUGGAUGUGAUUGGACCAAUAUCGCCGAAAGCUUCUAAUGGGCAUCGGUUCAUCUUCAUGGUUAUCGACUACUUCACCAAGUGGGUAGAAGCCGCUUCGUAUGCUAGUGUGACCAAGUCGGCAGUGAGCAAGUUUCUGAAAAAGGAGAUUAUAUGUCGAUAUGGAAUGCCGGAGAGGAUUAUAUCUGACAAUGCAUUAAACUUGAACAAUAGUACGAUAGCGGAAGUCUGCAGUCAAUUCAAGAUCAGACAUCACAACUCGUCACCGUAUCGCCCAAAGAUGAAUGAGGCAGUGGAAGCGGCCAAUAAAAAUAUUAAGAAAAUUGUGGGGAAGAUGACCGAAACCUACAGAGACUGGCAUGAGAAGUUACCAUUUGCCCUAUUCGCUUAUUGAACGUCAGUCAGAACCUCAACUGGGACAACCCCUUUCUCUUUGGUCUACGGAAUGGAAGCAGUGUUGCCAAUCGAAAUCGAGAUCUUGUCUCUUCAAGUGUUGUCGGAGUUAAAGUUAGAAGAGGCUGAGUGGAUCCAGUCUUGAUAUGAUCAAUUGAACCUAAUUGAGGAAAAGAGGUUAAGAGCUAUUCGCCAUGGUCAGAUGUACCAAAAACAAAUGAUGCGGGCUUAUGACAAAAAGGUUCGCCCUAGAGAAUUCCACGAGGGAGACUUGGUAUUGAAAAAGAUCCUUCCCAUGCAGAGGGACUUUCGAGGGAAAUGGAUGCCUAAUUGGGAAGGGCCUUACGUAGUGAAGAAAGUUUUCUCUGGAAGAGUAUUGAUUCUAGCCGAGAUGGACAGUAGAAACUUACCCAAUCUUGUAAACUCGGAUUUGGUCAAGAAGUAUUUUACCUGAAGAAAGAGAGGCCAAAGUGAAAACCCGCAAAGGGCACUCUGAAAUCCAAAAAAAAUCAUGGAGAGGCCAAGGUGAAAACCUACAAAGGGCACUUUGGAACCAAAGGGGCUUUUGAGUUGAAAACUCGAAAACGGGCAGCUCAAAUUUUGAAUAUGGGGCAUAUGAUAAUAUUGUCCUUCCAAAAUCAACAAGACAGAAGAAUAGUACACCUUGGAGCAUCAACAAAAUACGCAGAAUCUCCUGAAUACACAUUUGGUUCGAAGGAGCCUUUGAGAAAUUAGAAUAGUGAAACUCGUGCUGCGAUAUCUGGGGCACCUUUUUCUCAUUUUUUGCACCUUAUCAGAUUCGUUAUCAUAUGUAUUCACAUCAAAUUUUGGUCCGUUAUGAUAAUCUCUUUCGAGCAUUUUUGUUGAAAUCGCGAUUUUUUGAACAUGUAAUAUUCACACAAAAGAUGUUAUGCAUAUUACUCUGGAAAGUCUCUAAAUGGUAUAGGGAUCCGAAACAGGGCCACUAGUCAGGACUAACCAGGUUCAAAACAUCAGAAAAAGAGUAGUCCAAACUAGGACUAUUUAUUCAAAUUUUCUGUCAGAGAUAAGGGCUAAGUAGGAAGACGCGAUAACACAUCAAUGAUAGAACCCAGAUGAAUUAUGAACAAUGACACCUUAAGCGUUUAAAAAAAAGAAUCACUCUCAUGACAUUUCUACAUCCAUAAUCAUUCAUUUAAUUAGGAGCACUUGAGUCAUUUCGAUCAAAGCUUUCUGAUUAUUUGACAUAAACGCCACAUCAAGUUAGGGGCAUUUGAUUCAUCUCGAUCAUAGCAUCCUAGUUACUUGACAUACACAGAUAUAGGAAACCCAUUCUACACAUCAUGUCUUUAGAAGACAGUGUAGCGAUAUUGGCAAAUCCUGCAGAUUUGGCAUCUCUGAAUUGUCAGAGAGCAGAUUCGAAGAUAGCAAAUUUGGCGUCUCUAUAUUGGCAGAGAGUAGAUCAAAGAUAGCAGAUUUGGCGUCUCUGUAUUGGCGGAGAGCAGAUCGAAGAUAGCAGAUUUGGCAUUUCUGUAUUGGCGGAGAACAGAUCGAAGACAGCAAAUUUGGCGUCUCUGUAUUGUCAGAGAGCAGAUUCGAAGAUAGCAGAUUUGGCAUCUCUGUGUCGGCGGAGAGCAGAUCGAAGAAAGCAGAUUUGGUAUCUCUGUAUUGUCUCAUGUCUUUAGAAGACAGUGUAGCGACAUUGGCAAAUCCUGCAAAUUUGGCAUCUCUAUAUUGUCAGAGAGCAGAUUCGAAGAUAGUAGAUUUGGAGUCUCUGUAUUGGCGGAGAGCAGAUCGAAGAUAGCAGAUUUGGCAUCUCUGUAUUAGCGGAGAGCAGAUCGAAGAUAGCAGAUUUGGCGUCUCUGUAUCGGCGAAGAGCAGAUCAAAGAUAGCAGAUUUGGCAUCUCUGUAUUGUCAGAAAGUAGUUUCGAAGAUAGCAGAUUUGGCGUCUCUGUAUUGACGGAGAGCAGAUCGAAGAUAGCAGAUUUGGCGUCUCUCUGUUGGCGAAGAGCAGAUCGAAGAAAGCAGAUUUGGCACCUCUGUAUUGUCAGAGGGCAGAUCGAAGUCAGUAGAUUUGGCAUCUCUGUAUUGGCAGAGAGCAGAUCGAAAAUAACAGAUUGGUGUUCCCGAGUUUUUAAGAAGCAAGUUGAGGAUAGCCAAUUUAACACUCCUGAAGACAUCAGAAUACCUUUGGGGAAGAGGAGGGUCAAAAUUUUGAGACUUAGCCAGACCGGGCAAAUUUGGUCCUUUUUAUAGUCUUUGCUCUAUUCUCGUUGCACGACAAUGAGCAAAGAGGGGCAGCUAUAAAUAGGCCAAUUUGCCCGGCCCCCUUUGAAACCCAAAUAUAAAUAUUAACAGUCCAAAGUCCAAAUAAUUAUAAUAGUCCACGGGCCAAUAACCAAUCAAAGCCAAAUUACAAGACCAGAACUUAAACCUUAUAACAGUCUAUUAACAGGCUUUGACCCAAAGUAAAACACUAAUACCUAGACCCAAUAACUAAUGCCCCACAACCAAUACCCAAUCCCCAAAUUAACCCGAGACCCAAAAUUACAUUGGCCCAAAUGGCCCAGAAAUUUUAGAACCCUAGGGUUCUUUCCCAUGCGCCGCAACCAGCCAAGCCUCAGCACCUCCGUACACUCCAGUCUCCAACAACCAUGCCUACACAGCCCCGUACGCCUCACGCCAAGGGCCAGUGCAUGCCCGUACUCUACUUGCAAGAAGGACAAUCCACACAGCAGCAAACACGAACAAAAUAGCAGAAUAGCAAAUGAAAAUGGCAUUUUUAAUUUAUUUUCCUUUUUUCUUUUUUUCCUUCGGCUAUAAAGCCAUAGUUCUUAGU
rnacentral:lncRNA from 1 species